ACUUUGCAGACAGAGCUAAGAACUUAAGUGUGGAUUCUAUGUGGAAGGCAGGAGAUGAGUAGUCAAGAGUUGAUUCCUAGGUUUUAGUUGAGCAACUGAACGUAUGAUGGUUCAAUUACUAAGAUGGGGAAAAUUCGAGGAGAAGUUGGUGGUGAGGGGAAUCAGAAGAUACCUUUUGGCCACAAUUGGUUUUAGAUACUUAUUAGAUAGUCAAGUGAGGUGGUUUAGUGGGCAGUGGAAUAAAUAUCUGUAGUUCAGUGGUGAGGUCAAGAUUAAAAUGACAAAGGUAGGUGUCAGCAACAUAGAGCUGACUUCAAAGCCAUGAGACAGGAUGAACUCCCUACAAGGGGAGGGGCUAAGUUUACUUCCUUAAAUUGAGAAAGUUGGACAGGAUGGUGUUUAAGGUCUCAUCUUCUUCAAAAAGUUAACUGUUUAUUGAAUUUCAGAGAGUCUCUGUAAGAAACUUGAAGUGAUGGAAUUUUUUUUGUAAAAUGCUGUAGCUGCUUUAAAAUAAUGAAAAGGAUGAAUGGGAAGAAAUACAGACAUUUAAGUAUUGGAAAUCUGUAUUUAUUCUGAAAUGGCUUGUUUACAAAGCAUAAUAUGUAACUGCGAUCAGAUAUCCUUCUGAAAGUGAAAAUAAUCUUCAUUUUGUAAGGUUUCAGUUAAACCCAAUUGGUGGUCAAUAUGAACUUAUUUUUAUCAAAACAUUUUAAACAGCUUUAUUGAGGAGUCAAGUGACACCCAAGCUGCACAUAUUAGAAGUGUAAAGUUAGAUGUUUUCACAUAGGUAUUCAGCCAUAGAGCUGUCACCACUAGAGAUAAUAGACAUACUUAUCAUCCCAACAGUUUCCGUGUACCCUUCAGUACUGUCUCCCUCCUGCCUCUGAUCCAUAGGCAACCACUGAUAAGCUUUUUGUAACUGUAGAUUACUUUUCAUUUUCUAACUUAUAUAAAUAGAAUCAUACAGUAGGUAUUCUUUUUUUCUGGCUUUUUUCAUUCAACGUGAUUAUUUUGAGAUUCAUCCAUGGUGUUUUUUGUGUCAGUAGUUCUUUUUCUUCUGUUUGCUAAGUAAUAUCCUAUUGUAUGUAUAUACCAGAUGCAUUUUUGCAGUCAUAAUGAAGUUAGACUACCUUCUUUUUUCCCUUCAGUGGGUCUCAGGAUUUGCUGGUAUUAUUUGUAAUCCUGAAAAUUUGAGACAAGUCUCAGUUAAUUUAGAAAGUUUAUUUUGCCAAGUUUGAGGAUGCACCCUUCUUAGACAGUCUCUGGAAGUCCUGAUAACAUGUGCCCAGGGUGGUCGGGACACAGCUUAGUUUUAUACAUUUUAGGGAGACGUGAGACAUCAGCCAACAUAUGUAAGAAGUACAAUGGUUGUGUCCAGAAAGGCAGGACAACGUGAAGCAAAGACAGAAAAAAGACUUGAAGUUGGAAGGAGCUUCUGGGUCACAGAUAGGUGAAAGAGAGGAGUGCUUGCAUUCUUUGAGUUUUUGAUUAGCCUUUUUAAAGGAGGCAAUCAGCUAUGCAUGUAUCUCAGUGACAGGCAGGUUAUCCCUAAGCAGUUCCCGGCUUGGCUUUUCCCUCUAGCUUAGUGAUUUAGGGGCCCCAAGAUUUAUUUUCCUUUCACACACCAAAGAGACUAAAAAUGUGAGUACAUAUACACACAGAGACACAUUCCAAACUCUCUUCAUAGAAGGGCUUCCUUGUUCUUGUAUUCAUCCCCUUCAUCCUGUUCAGGGAUGAGCUUUCUGCUGGCUUUCAUUUACCAGAGCAAGCUUGACAGUGCUGUGGAUAGGAAGCAGGCCCACCCUUUCUGUGUGUUUGUGUUCUGUGUGAUUUUUUUGGGAAUGUGUGUAUGUUGUUGAGCUUUUUUUUUUAAAUAUAGAUUGUGUUUAUGUCAGGAGGUUGCCUAAAAUAAAACUGAAGCUUCAUAGUUUAGCCUUUAGUUGUGUUUCAUAGUUUAGCAGUUAUGGAUUCAGUUAAUCUAGUACCUCUGAUUUCACAAGAGAGUAUAAUAACCCUUUGCUCAGUUCAUAGGAAUUUUGUAUAGUUGGUUACGACAGAGAUCAAAAUGAGACAAACACUCAUUCACGUGGUAAGUAGAUGCUUACCUUUAAUCUCUGUGGUGUCUUGAUUAAAUCACUUGCUUUCUGCUUCUGUUUCUAUGCAUUUGGAAAAGUUGACUGCUUUCUUGUUCCUGUGGAUGAUCUGAGAACACACAUGAGUUAAUCACCCUCUGGCUGUUUUUAACAUCAUGAGCUUACAUGCAGUUUAAGGAUUUCUGGGCUCUCUGUGCUGUUAUCUGGGGUUGUCUGAGGAGGAAUAGAAGCAGAUACGGUAGGAUGAUGACACAGGUUAGCAUGCAAGUGCAGUAAAGAAUUCCAUUUUGGAUGUUUUUAGAAUUUUCUGCAGGAUGUUCUGUUUUCUAGGUAAUUUGUAGAUUUUUACACUGCUUUAUAAAAAGCUCUUUCCUCAAUUGGUAGCUUUGAAUUCUUCUUCAGUAUUUAUGGGAAGUCAUAUUCUUGAUUUAGAUGUUCUGCUUUACCUUACCAAAGAUGACUCUACCAGUUGUGAAGCCAACAAGGAAGAAGAUCUGCUGCUCUGGGUAUCUAAGAGAUCACUUCAUCUUGGUACUUACGAGACUGCCUCAUUCUUUGUGAUGGCUGUAGAGUAUUCACUCCAUCGACUGAAUGUAACAUGUUUUAGUUGUCCCCGCCACUUUUCCUGUUAUAUCUAUGCUGAAGUACAUAAUACUUACAUGCAAAUACAUUAUCUCUCACAUUUCCAAAUUGUUCUCCAUUAACAUUUUAUCGUUAUGUACUUACACCAACAAGGUUUUAGUGUGUCUCUUUCCUUAUACACUCAACAAUACAGAGUGCUACUAGAGUUUAUCUGAUUGGCGAAAAUGUUAUUUUCUUCUGAUUUUUAACUUAUAUAUCUCUUAUUACAGAGUUUGGGCAUCUUUUCAUGUGAAUGAGUCAUUUGUAAUUCUUUUUCUGAGGACUCACUGUUCGUAUGUGCAACCUAUUUCUCUAUUAUAUGGUUACUGUUUUAUUGAUGAUAUGUAGGAGCUUUAGAUAUAUUAAGCAAAUUAGCUCUUGGCGAUAUGACUUAUACUGUUGCUUUUAAGUUUGUUGUUUGUCCUUCGAUGUUGCUUACCGUGUUUUGCCAUGAGGGGAUUUUUUAUAUUGAUGUAAAGGAAUUACAUCUAAUUUUAAAAAUUUCUUUCAAAUUUUGUGUUACACUCAAAACAUUGCAGAUAUUACGUUUAUCAUAUUUUGAAUACCCGCCUCAGCCUCUCAAAGUGCUAGGAUUACAGAUCCAACAGUGGCUGGAGCCACUGCACCCAGCUACUCAAGGCAAAUAUUGAGCCAAUGUACUUGGCCAUCCAAGGUUUUACCCUGAGUAGGGGAGCUCUGAGCACUGGCAUCGGAGGGAGCAGUCUCUUGGAUGAACUGUGGGAUAUACACAUUUUCUAAUGGGCACAGCAUUCCAAGGCUUCUCAUUCACAUCUUCUACAACUCCAAGUCUUGGGAUGCCUCAAACCCAUACUCUACAUGGGCUAGCCUUCAUUGAGCAGCUAGUGUGGGGCAGACAGGCCAGGGUGGGCACGCAAGAGGAAGGAGACCCAGACUUUGCCUCAAGGAGAUCACAUUCAAGCAGGAACAGAAUUACUCCAGAAUGUCAGAUCAAGGGACCAAAGCCUCUGAUUUUUUUUUCCUUUAUUUCUUCUCUCUCUAACUCUCUUUCUCUCUCUCUCAUUCUCUCUUCCUCUCUCCUUUCUUUCUCUUUCUUUCUGUUUUUCAAGAUAGAGUUUUACUCUUGUUGUCCAAACUGCUGUGCAAUGGCCUCAGGUGAUCCACCCACCUAGGCCUCCCAAAUGUUGGGAUUAUAUGUGUGAGCCACUGGAUCUUGCCACCUCCAAUUUUCACAGAAAGAGGCACAGAAAAAUUUGGCACCCAACAGAAAUGAGUUCAAAUAUCAGUUUCCCUAGUUCUUGGCUCAAGCUUUCCGGUUCUCAGUGAUUUCCUAUGAAAGGGAAUGAGAGGGGUCUGUGGUGACAAAAUCAUGGCAGGCAAGGUGACACUCACCUGCAAUCUCAGCAACUCAGGAGGUUGAGGUGGGAGGAUCGCUUGAGGGCCUACCUGGGAAACAUAGGGAGACCCCAACUCAAAAAAAGUAAAAAGGGGGCAUGGUGGCUCAUUCCUGUAAUCCUAUCACUUUGGGAGCCCAAGGCAGGUGGAUCACUGGAGGGGUCAGGAGUUUGAGACCAUCCUGGCCAACAUGGUGAAACCCCAUCCCUACUAAAAAUACAAAAAUUAACCAGGCGUAGUAGUGCAUGCCUGUAGUCCCAGCUACUUGGAAGGUUGAGGCAGAAGAAUCACUUAAACCCAGGAGGUGGAGGUUGCAGUGAGCUGAGAUCACCCCACGGCACACCAGCCUAGGAGGCUUUACAGAGCGAGACUCCAACUCCAAAAAAAAAAAAAGAGAGAGAGAGAGGAAGGGACAUCAAUCAACAAACAUUGGUGAUGAAUAGGGUAGUGGUGCCACUGCCUGGCUAAAAUAUAUAUAUAUAUGUAUGUAUGUAUGUACAUGUAUAUAUCUAUAUAUAUGCAUAUAUUUAUAUAUGUAUAUAUUUGUAUUUUUAGUAGAAACUAGGUUUCUUCAUGUUGAUUAGGCUGGUCUCAAACUCCUGACCUCAGGUGAUCCACCCACUUUGGCCUCCCAAAGUACUGAGAUUACAGGUGUGACUCACCGCACAUGGCUCUCCUUUUUUUCUUUUUUUUUUUUCGAGAGGGAGUUUCACUGUGUCUCCCAGGCUGGAGUGCAGUGGUAAAAUCUCAGCUCACUUCAACCUCCCCCUCUCAGGCUCAGGCAUUUCUCCAGCUCAGCCUUUCGAGUAGCUGGAAUUACAGGAGUGUGCCACCACAGCAGGCUAUGUUUGUAUUUUUGAUAGAAAUGGGGUUUUGCCCUGUUGACCAGGCUGGUCUCAGACCCCUGACCUGAGGUAAUCCACCGGCAUUGGCCUCCCAAAGUGCUGGAAUUACACACAGGAGCCUACCCCACCCCCAUCCAAGUAAGUUUCUUGAUUGCACAGAAUGUAUGGUGAUAUUGGUGGACUUAUGGACAUCCUCUCCAGCAUUGAGUGUUGUGUCUUGGGUGUGCUGUGCUUUUUGUUUGUUUUUUUUGAGACUGAAUCUCACUCUGUUGCCAGGCUGGAGUGCAGUGGCAUAAUUUUUUCUCUCUGCAACCUCCACCUCCCAGGUUCAAGCAAUUCUCCUGCCUCAACCUCCUGAGUAGCUGGGACUACAGGCACCUGCCACAAUGCCCAGCUAAUGUUUUUAAAAAGUGUUUUUAGUAGAGAUGGGGUUUCACCAUGUUGAUCAGGAUAGUGUCAAUGUUUUGACCUCGUGAUCCAACUGCCUCGGCCUCCCCAAGUGCUGGGAUUAUAGGCAUGAGCCACUGUGCCUGGCAUGUGCUCUGCUUUUAAACUCUUUUUUUUCUAAUAUGGGGUAGACUUGAAAGUGUGCCUUGUUUUCAUAGCCCUCAUGCAGCUUGUUUUGAACUGUUUUAUGUUCACAGUUUGGGAUAUAUUAGGCAAUAUUGCUGAGCUGUCCUGUCAACCUGAAUUUGAGCCCUUUAUCUGCCAGUAACCUUGCCAUGUGAUUAUGAGCAAGGUAUUCUAGCAUCUCUGUUCUUCAAUUUCUUUAUCUGUAAAAUGCAGACUAUGCCCAGCUCAUAGCACUAGUGUGAGGAAUAAAUGAAGAUAUGUGUAGAUCACUUUUACAUGGUAUGUGACACUUGGUAGGCACCAAAUCAUUAUUGCUGGGAGUAUAAGUACAUUCUUGCUUGUCUACACACACACAUACACACACACACAUACAGAAAGAGAGAGAGAGAGAGAGACAGAGAAAUUGCAGAGAUUAUACAAAAAGUUCCCAUGUACCUGUACCCAGCUUCCCUUAUAAUUAACAUCUUACAUUAGUAAGGUGCAUUUGUUAAAAUUAAUGGACAAAUAUUGAGAUGCUUUUAUUAACCCAAGUCUCUACUUCAUUCAGAUUUCUUGGGAUUAUUCCUAAUGUCCUUUCCUGUUCCAGUGUCUCAUCUGGGACAUAACAUUCCAUCUCAUCAUCAUUUCUCCUUAGGCACUCUUCCUGGCUGGGUCACUCGAGUUUCUUUUGAUUACAUUGAAAUUAAAUUUUGGUGCAGACAAUGAGAUCUCUGUUACAGAAUUCUUAGGUUAAAAUUUACUCACAAUGGCUGGGUGCAGUGGCACAUGUCUGUAAUCCCAACACUUUGGGAGGUCGAGGCGGACUCAUCACUGGAGGCCAGGAGUUUGAGAUCAGCUUGGGCAACAUAAUGAGACCCUAUCUCUACUAAAAAUAGAAAAAUGUUUGCCAGGCAUGGUGGCACACAUCUGUAAUCUCAGCUACUCUGGAGGCUGCGGCGUGAGAAUUUCUUGAACUCAGGAGGUGGAGGUUUCAGUGAGCUGAGACUGUGCGACUGUAUCCCAGCCUGGAAGAUGAAGCCAGAUUCUGUCUCAAAUAAACAAACAAACAAAUAAAUAAAUAAAUAAAAGGCAAACCUUAUUCACAAAAUUAUUAUAGGGCACCUGGUUGUAGCGCCUGAGCUGGAUGUGUAGUAGCCUCCCAAGAUCUUAACCUAAAGUCUGCCCUACUGUGGCUAAACCUGCUUGUAUGCCAGAAAGCAGACCCAAGCUGCUGAAAACCACCUGUACCUUAUCCUGACCCAUUUGUCCUCCCCCAUCUUUUGGUAAAUAAUAUCCAUUGAAAAAUGCUGGUUGGGCCUACAUGGUGACCUGAGUGAUAACACAUCUCAGGAAUGUGUGGGGGCAUGGGGUAGGAAAAGGAGGCCACUGUGUUUUUUCUAACAGUCACCUCAAAACUGCUGGUGCCUUGGUGAUGGAAGGGUGUCACCCCAACAUGUUAGCUGAGCUGUGUGGUUUCCCUGAAUGUUAAUAACUUUCACUGCUUUGGCUUGUGUUUCCUCCUUGAUAUCACCAACUAAAAAAAUGUCAGAAUUUUUUGGUUUCUGGUGCCAAAUCCAAGCUGGUUUAUCAGAAGACACCCCCUGCCAGACAAUGGAGUCUGUGUGCUGGGGCAGAGCCGCUUUCCCUUUGACACUGGCUCUUUUCUAAGAACUGAAAAUAAGCUGCAGAGGCUGUGACUUCACUUUUCUUGGAACUCCUUUACAUUACUCCCAAAAAUGCAGAAAAUCCUCAUUUAGCAGCUUUUGGAUUGCUGAGUUCUCUAUUUCUUUCUGUUGCAUAUUCUUGUAAUGCUCAAAUUUGACUGACAAAUUCUUCUGCAUCAGGUGAAGCAAGAGGGGGAAGGAAUGACCGUGUGAAGGAACUGAGUGCUUUGUCACUUGGCCUUUUUGUGGUUUAAUGGUUGAUGAGAAAAAGGACCUAGAAGAGACACUGUGUGUAGAAUGGCUUCCAAUUCCAAGGGUCACAACCCUGUGAUCUGUUGGCCAGCAGUUGGCUAGGGCUGAGGCAGAUGAACAUCAGGCCAAAGCCCAAACUUACAGAGCAUAUGCAAGGACAAGGAGAAAAUGCAUUUUCAGCCAUAAUGACCUACAUUUAGUUGACACUUUGGAGCUUGUGCAAAAGGACAUCUUCAAGGGGCCUCUGCCUCCUUGCAUAAAGGGAGAUAGUGAUGUCAGACAAACCUGGGGUCCGGUCCUGGUCCUGUUGGUUCCUUUUUGACUUUGGCCUUGAAAGUCAGUCUGUGAAAUGGAGAUCUCUUCCUUUGAAGGGUGGUACCUGGUAGGUUCUUGGGAACUGAAUUAAUGUUCCCCUCUUAAGAGUGGGUCUCUGUAGACAGGCACAUAUGCUGUUCUGAAAUCAUCUGUUGCUAUCUCUGUCUCUGUUGGAGGUGCUUCCAGUGAUAUGUGAGUGUUUCUUACUUAUCUCAGUAUCCCUGCCCAGCAUGGGGUCUUACAUAACAUACAUGGGCAGUCAUUCAGUGUUAGGACUGGCUGGGUUUUAGGCUGGAAGACAGUGGAAAUAUACAAGCAAAGGCAGUGCCUUGCAUUUACACGUGGCCUGCAGCAGUAUUCAAAUGAAAGGAGCUCCCUGCUUAGAAGGGCCUUUUGAAUUGGGCCCCCUGUAUAGUUUAUAGUUAACCUGAGGAUGAUGGCUAGACUGUUGGGGAGUGCUCUUUAAGUACAGAGGGAAGACUUGGUAAAGACAUAAAAGCAUGGAGGAAAAGGAGAUAGUCAGCUGAGUCCAAAAAAUGAUUCAUGUUGUUUGUUCACAAUCUGAAAUGAGAGGCCUUCAAGAUUGACUCUUGAUAAAGAAUGCAAAUUCAGCUGGGCUCAGUGGCUCACACCUGUAACCUCAGCACUUUGGGAGGCUGAGGUGGGCAGAUCACCUGGAGUGAGGAGUUCAAGAUCAGCCUGGCCAACGUGGCGAUAUCACGUCUCUACUAAAAAUGCAAAAAUUAGCCAGACAUGGUGUGUGUGUGUGGGGGGGGGUGUGCCAGUAAUCCCAGCUACUCAGGAGGCUGACACAGAAGGAUCAGUUGAACCCAGGAGGUGGAGGUUGCAAUGAGCUGAGACUGCUACUGCACUCCAGCCUGUGCAACAGAGCAAAGCUUUGUCUCAAACAAAACAAAACAAAAAGAAUGGAAGUUUAACAAAGAAUGAAGUGCCAGGGACUGUGAAAGAAGCCGUCUCAUAAGUUGCUUCAUUUUACUGUCCCUGUACCCCAAAGAGGUGCAUUUCCCCUGUCCCCUUUCACAGCCAUGAAAACUGCAGCCAUGGAGAUGAAGUCCUUUGUCCAGGGGCUCUCUCCAGUCACAGAGCCAGGUUAUGAACCAGUAGGUGCCCCUCAUCAUUAAGGACACUUGUGGGUGGUCAGGAGCAGGCCCUUCCAUACAGCAGCUCUUCCCCAGGGCAGCUCUGGGAGCUGAAGAUCUCUGCACGAGCACUGGCACACUCUUCUGGUCUGUGCUCGGGAAAUAGAAUGACAACCAGUCACCAGAAAGCAAAGGCACAGAAUGAAGCAAAGAAACAAAAUGGGGCCAUGAGAAGCUUCACUCCUGUUUACCCAGGAAUUCUGCCCAUUUUGGCCAGGCCGAGGUGGGGGUGGAGAGUUGUCAGAUUUGUCAACCAGAAGGGUUCUGAGGAGCUUGCAGUGGGGCCAGCCCCACUGUUCAUUCAUUGGAUAACGUUGGGUGGGUUAUUUCAGUGCCCUUACUUCUGGAUGACGGGGGGUCAGAGAGGUUAAAUAAUUCAUGGCUGCUAGCUGGAAUCCAGUGCUUAAAUGUUCAGUUUAGUGGCUAAUGCCUGUAAUCCCAGCACUUUGGGAGGCUGAGGCGGGUGGAUCAGCUGAGGUUAGGAGUUAGAGACCAGCCUGGCUAACAUGGUGAAACCCCAUUUCUACGAAAAAUACAAAAAAUUAUCUGUGCGUGGUGGCACAUGCUACUCGAGAGGCUGAGACAGGAGAAUCGCCUGAACCCAGGAGGCAGAGGUUGCAGUGAGCCAAGACUGCACCAUUGCACUACAACUUGGGCAACAAGAGCAAAACUCCAUCUCAAAAACAAAAGGAAACCACAAAAGUUCACUUUAUUUGUCUUUCUGUGGCCAAACGCCUGCUGGGUUCCAGGCUCUGGGGAUACACGAGGUGAACGAGAUGCAUGGUUGCUCCCUGUGCGGCAUGGUGACUUCUUGGACCUCCCAUUCCUCUUUAUUGUUCCUGUUUAAGCCCGAGAAAGUACUGUGCUUUUAAGAACGUGUGUGGUUAGAUUGGGCUCACCUGGUUAUUCAGGCCAAUCUCCCUGUCUCAAACCCCUUACUAAUCCCACCUGCAAAGUCCCUUUUGCUACAUAAGGUGACAUAUUCAGAGGUUCUCAGGAUUAGGACAUGGAUAUUGUGUGGGGAGGAACAGUCUGCCUAUCUAGUCAGCUCUUUAGACCCUGAAGAUGUGUGCUCAUCCCAAAUACAAAAUACAUCCACCCUGCCCCAAGGCCUCAUGCCAUUAUAACAUCAACUCAGGAGUCCAAAAUCUGCUCUAAACCUCGUCACCUAAAUCACCUCAAUCUGGCAUGGGGGAGGCUCCUGGAACUUAGUAAACCAGUUACCUGGCCCUAAAGUGUAGUGAGCGGCCACCCAGAGGGGUAUAAUCUAGUUCUGUCCCUGAUCCAAGGGACCUGAUAUGUGAUAUGGACAAGAAAAGGAAGAAACAAAGAAGCUGUACACCCAGAAAUACCAGACCACUAAGCCUCCUUUCCUCCUGGUCACAGAGGAUAGGGAAAGGAGUUUCUCCAAAGGGUCUGUCAGCACCUCAUUCCAUGUCCUGUGAACUUGGGAGAAGGCUGACCUAGACACUUUUCUUCAGUGGGUACUGCUCAUUUUAGAAAGUGAAUCAAGCCGGGUGCGGUGGCUCACAUAUGUCAUCCCAACACUUUGGGUGGCCAAGGCGGGCAGAUAUGCUGAAGCCAGGAGUUCAUGACCAGCCUGCCCAACAUGGCAAAACCCUGUCACUACUAAAAAUACAAAAAUUAGCGAGGCGUGGUAGUACACGCCUGAGGUCCUAGCUUCUGUGUAGACUGCAGCAGGAGAAUCGCUUGAAUCCAGGAGUCAGAGGUUGCAGUGAGCCAAGAUCAUGACUGUGCACUCCAGCUUGGGCCACAGAGUGAGACUGUGUCUCGAGACAAAAAAGAGAGUUGGAGUCAGGGCCUGCCCUGGGGUCUUCCAUCGGACAGCUGCGCAUUACUUACAGGUGAAAAUUUUCCCAGAGCACAGCUAAGCCUGGUUGUCCUGCUUGUAGGACUCUGGCAUGUAGCUAAUUAUCAGCUCCACCUGGGCUGUUUUUACCUGGUCCCUACCCGUAUCUUCAAUUAGAAGCCACGUGCUUUGGGCUCAAGAAAGUCUAAGCUUUUAGAAAGCUCUCCAGUGACUCUCAUCAUCAACCAGGUUUGGCAGACACAGAUCUACAGCUUUCUGGCCCAGAGACACCUGGGGCACAGGAGGGGUCAGAGCUGCCCAUGACACUGGUUGUGAACUGGUGAAGGCUCCCUUGAGUGGGGACCCUGGAGUCCAGGGGACCAGGACCAAGGGGUCCCUGCCUGCCCCGGGCUUCUGAGGGGGAGAAGAAAGGAAGGCUGGAAAAGCCCAUGUUUAGGAAUAGAGCUUCUCUACCUCCUGGAUGUCCAGGGCCAUCCUUGAUAUGGGCCGUUGCAAGGUAGUGAUAUCAAGUUUCCUUUUUAAAAAGCCCUGUGACUGGUUGCAGUGGCUCACACCUGUAAUCUCAGCACUUUAGAAGGCCAAAGUGGGCGGAUCACCUGAGGUCAGGUGUUCGAGACCAGCCUGGCCAACAUGGUGAAACCCUGUCUCUACUAAAAAUAUAAAAAUUAACCAGAUGUGGUGCUGUAUGCCUAUAUUCCCAGCUACUCAGGAGGCUGAGGCAGGAGAGUCACUUGAACCCAGAAGGCAUAGGUUGUAGUGAGCUGAGAUCACUCCAUUGCACUCCAGCCUGGCUGUCAGAGUGAGAUUUUAUUUCAAAAAAAAGUGAGCCCUUUUACAGAAAACUAUUAAGUAAACAAUAAUACAGUAGUACCUGAGAGACUGAUGUGUGGGUACUUGGUUUUCCUUGAUGUUCUAGAGUAGAGCUGCACUGUCUAAUGUGAUUGUCAGCAGCCUCAUGGAUCUAUGGAGUACUUGGAAUGUGCCGGAGUGGCAGGCAGGGUUGCCAAACUCAGCAAAUAAAAGUUGAGGAUGCCUCCUCCAUCAGUGUGGGCUGUGCACAGUGACUUUCUUCCAGAACGGAAAGAGGGAUAAGAGUAACUUUACAGUGGCAGCCAGCUGGUUUUAAUGUCAAGUGAUACACCAUUUUAACAGCACACCUGGGUAAGACACCUGAGGCCCUAGGGGGCCAGGACUUAGAAUCUUCAAAUUCUGCAGCCACUCGUCUUCUCACUGCCCUCACCUGGCUCCUGCAGAGAGUAGUGACAGUGCCCUAAGGGGCCUCUAGGAGCCUAAUGGGACCACAGGAGGUCUCUUGGAGGCCUGGAGAGGCAUGUGAGGACUUGGCAUUUUCCAAAGGUAUGACAGCUGGGGUUGGUGCUUGAGAUCUCUGGUCAGUGCUGGUAAUGCUGUGUAAUGAAUUGCCACAAACUUAAGAGCUUAAAAAAACAAAUGUAUUGGUCGGAUGCAGUGGCUCACACCUGUAAUCCCAGCACUUUGGGAGGCCAAGGGAGGUGGAUCACGUGAGGAUGGGAGUUCCAGACCAGCCUGACCAACAUGGAGAAAUCCUGUAUUUACUAAAAAUACAAAAAAUUAGCCAGGUGCAGUGGUGUAUGCCUAUAAUCCCAUUUACUUAGGAGGCUGAGAAAGGAGAAUCGCUUGAACCUAGGAGGCAGAGGUUGCAGUGAGCCAAUGUCACACCACUGCCCUUCAGCUUGGGUGACAAAGCAAGACUUCAUCGCAAAAAAGAAACAGGCUUGUUAAAUUCCUCCCAUGUGUUGAUGCCCUUGCUAUAAUAUCUAUUUAUGUUAUUAUGAGUCACCCGCUCCCAGGGCUGCCCUGCCCAUUGCGAGACCUCUUCUGUCUUCGUAAGUGUGAGACAGUGUUUUCCCUGCCUUUACCACAUUGUCCGCCUCUCUCGCUGGGUGUCACACCCAUUUAAGGAGAGUGAGCACAUUGGCUGUGGGAUCUUGGUCUCCCCAGUUUGGCAGCAGCAGGUCCCUGACUUGGCAUAAGAAAUAAAUGUCAGUGGAAAAAUAUUUUCUUUUUUUGAGAUGGAGUCUAGCUCUGUUGCCAGGCUGGAGUGCAAUGACACAAUCCCCACUCACUGCAACUUCUGCCUUCCAGGUUGAAGCGAUUCUUUUGCCUCAGCUUCCUGAGUAGCUGGGACUACAGGCAUGUGCCACCACACCCAGCUAAUUUUUGUAUUUUUUAGUAGAGAUGGGGUUUCACCAUGUUGGCCAGGAUGGCAUUGAUCUAUUGACCUUGUGAUCUGCCCGACUCAGCCUCUUAAAGUGCUGGGAUUACAGGCAUUUUACUAUCUAUGUGCAUGUCCCAACACAAAUGUCGUUGCACCUGUUGAUGUGUGUCUUAAGCCUGAGGUAGGGAAGUUUGGUAGGUGGAAGUUACUUUCCAUCUCCUUUCUCAUAGCAUGGCACAUGGAAGAGAAGAUUUGGGCUUUAGCAUUUCACUGUGAGCAUCCUGUUUAUUCCAUGGUCAUGGGCCUUACUACCAAAUUUACUUGAAAACCUUGUGAAAUUAUUUAUGCAGAAAGAAUGAGGAAUCUCGGGUAAUGGGAAAGCAACUAGUCAGUUUUGGAAAACCUCCAACAUCGGUAGUUUACAACUAAUUGGAAAAACAUGUCUCAUCUCAGUUGAGUUAAUCCUUUCUGCAGUGCUGGGCACCUUAAGUGUUCCCAGAAGGUUUAAGGAGCAGACUGAGCUCCCAAGGAGGCCAGCAUAGUGACAAAAAAGGACAAAGGGCUCUGCCUGCCCCUGAGGGUCCUUCAGUCAUGGUCAGCUCUGUCUAGGGGAGCAAAGACCAUGUCUGUCCUCAGCCUUCCUGGCUAUGGCAGGAGCAUGGGGUUGGGAGAGAAGAGCAUGGGCAUUUCUUCUGGCUGGAAACUUAGCCUUUGAAACAAGGCUCCACGGGCAGAGUUUCAGACCCAAACAGGAGAAUGAGAUGGCCAAUGUUGAUGCUCUCAGAGUGGAGGGUCCUGAACUGUCUGAUUAUAAGUGCAGUGUUGGGUCCUUAUGUACUUUUACAAGGGUAUUUUCAGAGACACGGAGGUCAGUGGACCCACUUUCACUUUGUCAUUGAAGGUCUCUGGAAAAGAGUGUUCCCAGGGAUAGAUGAUCUGAUGGGGCCACGGCCCCACCAGUGUCCUUAAGAGGGAAAGCUCUGUCAGCAGAGAGAACCUCAGCCCUGGCUGAUCACACAGGAUACACUAGGGUGGGAUCUGCAGACACCAGCAGCCUGCCCUAAGGCUCCCAAGUCAGAAAGCCCCAGUCAUUUCCAGUCCUGGUUUUGCUAGCCAGUCUCAGUUUCUGGCUUUGUGUCUUGGGGGGGCUGAUGCAAUGUUGUUUGUGAGAUGGAGCAAAUGGUAUUGCUCCUACCCCCACCAGGCUGGCGUCAGGAUGAAAUUCAACAUAGAAAGCAUCCUCCCCCUACCCCCAUGGACCAAGAGGUAAUGCUAUUAGAGUUACAUGGGUUUGGGGUUUCCCCUUACUGUUUCCAUUUCCUUCCUGAAACCGUGAAAGAGGCUUCGUGGGAAAGGAAGUUUCUCUCAGAUGCCUGAGUCCAGCUGGGAGUAGCUGUUCCCAGUUAGCCAGGCUGAUUGGAGUCCAGGGUGAGUUGGCUGAGUUGUGGGUUUGAACCGCCAGAGCCACUGAGGCACAGCUGGCCCACUGCCAAGUGCUGCCAACCAUCCUGUAAAUUCCACCAUUGCUCAUGCCUGGGAGACGCUUCAGCAUUGACCGAAAGGGUUGCUAGGUCUUGUUUUGCUCAGGACAGGGCACUGAAGAGUGAUCUGUUGUCAUACUCUAAGGACAGAUCUGGGUCCUGUGCCUCCCAGGGACUCCAAACACAGAAUGCCCUUGACAGGACCCCAGCCCAUGGGCACAGCCCCUUUUGUUAGUAUUAAUUAUGCACUUAUGUGAAAUGCACCUGCUCUUGAAGAGGGGAUAGCCAGUGAUUAAAAUAGUUGAGAGCAGGUCACCAGGCUCUUUCAGACUCCAUUAGGAAAUGGCUCUUAGAGGGUUACUUUAGAGCAAGGGAAAGGUCUCCCUGUUGUAGGGGCUCUGUGCCUGGCCAGCUUCUUUAAAUCCUGGCCUGCUCCAGCAAUCCAAGAUGGCUCUGAAGUAGGAACUGCUACUUAAUUUGCAGGGAUCAGUACAAAAUGAAAAUCAAUAAUUUUCAGAAAUUAAGAUGAAGGUGGGCUGGGUGCAGUGGCCCACGCUUGUAAUCCCAGCACUUUGGGAGGCCAAGGCAGGCAGAUCACAAGGUCAGGAGUUCGAGACCAGCCUGGCCAACACGGUGAAACCCUGUCUCUACUAAAAAUACAAAACUUAGCUGGGAUGGUGGUGGGUGCCUGUAAUCCCAGCUACUUGGGAGGCUGAGGCAGGAGAAUUGCUUGAACCCGGGAGGUGGAGAUUGGAGUGAGCUCAGAUCACACCAUUGCACUCCAGCCUAGGUGACAGUGCAAGACUAUUCUCAGAAAAAAAGAAAAAUGAUUCAAGCAGCAGAGCCUUCAAGCAAGCAUUAGGGACCCUUCUGAGCACGGGGCCCUGGUUGUGAAGUUUGUACACUGGGCCAGGUCUGGAAAGAGUGCAAGGCAUGCAGCUGGCCUGAACCAUGUGGGUGAACUGAGUCACCCUGCCCUUUGUGGGGGUUGAUGGGGAUUUUUUUCUAGGCUGCUGGCCUGGGCAUGGCUGACGCAUGAGUGGGGCUUGUCCUGGUCUGGGCUGAAAAUAAUACACUGGGACAAGUUGAAGGGAGGGGGAUUGGAGCAGGGUGCUCCAGGGAGCAUCAUCUGUGUCCAACAGGAAGUCCCUGAGCUUGGACACAUGACUUAAUCAUCUGUCACGAGGUUCAGAGCAAAACCCAGAAGGCCAGGCAAUGAUGCAUUGAAACUCUCCCUACCCAAGUUAGCAUUUUCCAGUAUCAUUUAAAAAUGUUUUAUAGAUAAGAGGUCUCGCUGUGUUGGACAGGAUGGUCUCAAACUUUUGGUCUCGAGUGAUUCUCCUGCCUUGGCCUCCCAAGGUGUUGGGAUUAUAUUCAUGAGUCAUUGCCCCUGGACUCCAACACUGUUUUAAAAUUUUUGAUAUAUCUGUGAUUUUUGGAUUAUACCUGUUUUGUGACUUCCAUUGGAGAAAAUCAACCUGGCUGGGUGAGGUGGCUCACGCCUGCAAUCCCAGCACUUUGGGAGGUUGAGGUGGGCAGAUCACAUGGCAUUUCUCUUGUGAGAGUUUGAGACCAGUUUGGACAAAUGGUGAAACCCCGCCUUAACUAAAAACACACAAAUUAGCCAGGCAUGGUGAUGGGUGUCUCUAAUCCCAGCUACUCAGGAGGCUGAAGCAGGAGAAUCUCUUGAACCCACGAGAUGGAGAUUGCAGUGAGCUGAGAUUGUGCCACUGCACUUCUGCCUGGGCUACAGAACAAGACUCUGUCUCCAAAAAAAAAAAAAAAAGCCAUCAAAAGCAGAUGUUUGUCACUGCCAGGUGACCUUACUAAUCACUGACCAUGGGCGUACAAGGACAAAUGAAAUGAGGGCAAAAUAACUUAUGCCUUGUUUUCUUUGCCUUUGACCUUCAGCCCCAUGCAUUCCUGCAAAUGUUUUGCCCACAGCAAACCUUUGAAUACCUUAACUUUUCUGUUUUAAAUGAGAUUUCCAAGUGAAUUGAUGUCUGAAAAGAUAAUCCCUUUAGUGGAGAGCAAUUGGUAUUUGAAGAGAAUGAGAUCAGGUUGCUAAGGACACCCUUGUUUGUAAUCUUUGGUUUAUAUAAAUUAUUGGUGAAUAAGAGAAAUAAGUUUAUUCUUUCUUUUAGAUGGUAAACCGGAAGGGAAGUGUGUUAAGGGGUAAAGUGAGUCAUGGGGUGUGGGAGGCUCAGAUGGAACAGGGCUCUGGGACACCUCUCUUUCUUGACAUUGGACCUCUAAUUUCCAUCCCAGGCCUCAAAUUAAAAGACAAAGGCUUCUAAUCUGCUUGGGUGGGAACACAUAAAAAUUCCUCUGGGUGGAUGGAUAGGGGUGGGAAGGAGGAAGUUUGUAGAAACUGAAAGAGGACUUUUUUGGGGAGAGAGGAAGAAAUCUCUUGUUUAAUUACAAAACCAAAAUAUCAUUGGCAUAAAGUUUUCAGGGUUCAUCCAUAUUGUUGCAUAUGUCAGAACUUAAUUUUUUUGAUGGCUGAAAAUACUUCAUAUAUAGUGUAUUUUGUUUAUCGAUUUACCUGUUGAUGGACAUGUGAUAUUUCUACUUUCGGCUAUUGUGAAUAAUGCCAUUAGGAACACUGGCAUGCAAGUAACUACUUGAGUGCUUGUUUAUAAUUUUGUUGGGUAUGUAUCAAGGAGUGGAUUAUUGGCUUAUGUAGUAAUUCUAUAUUUAGCAAUUUUAGAAACCGGCAAAUUGUCUUCCACAGUGGCCACACUAUUUUGCAUUCCUACCAGCAGUAUCAAGUUCUCCAUAUCCUCAUCAACACUAGUUAUUUCUUUGUUUUUGAUUAGAGCCAUGCUAGUUGGUGUGAAGUGAUACUUACUGUGGUUUGUAUUUUCAUUGCCCUAAUGACUAAAGAUUUUGAGGAGCCUUCAAUGCACUCAUUUGCCAUUUGUAUCAAGUUAUUUGCCCUUUGCAACCUUUUUUUUGUAUUCGUUGUGUUAUAGGUGUUCAUAUGUGUUUUGAAUAUUAACCCCUUAGAUACAUAAUAUGCAAUUAUUUUCUCGCAUUGUGUAGAUUGUACUUCACUAUAUUUAGAGUAUCUUUUCAUAGACAAAAAUUUUUAAUUUUGAUGAAAUUUAUCUUUUGUUGUUGCCCGUGAUUAUAAUAUCAUAUUUAAAAAAUAUUGCUAAAUCGGUGGCCAUGAAGAUUUGCCUCAGUUUUGUUCUGAGUUUAUAAUGUGUGGUCUCAAAUAAAGGUCUCUGGUCCAUAUUGAAUUAAUAUCUGUGUAUGGUAUAAGGUAAGCGUCCCACUUUAUUUUCUUGCAUGUUAAAAUCCAGUUGUCUCGGCACCAUUUUUUGAAAAGACGGUUCUGUAGGACCUUAGCAUCAUUGUUAUGAAUCAAUAGGCCAUGGAUUUGAGAAUUUCUUUCUGGGGUCUCAAUUCUAUUCCAUUGGUUUAUAGGUCUAUCCCUAUGCCAAUAUCCCAUUGCUUAUUUAAAUUAUAGCUUUAUAUUUAGUUUUGAAAUCAGAAAUUUGAGACCUCCAAAUUUGAUCUAUUACAAAAUUGUUUUACCCAUUCAGGAUCCCUUGAAAUUCUAUAUAAAUUUUAGAAUGGUUUUCUUUAUUUCUGUGAAGGAUGCUGUUGGAAUUUAGAUAAGGAUUGCAUUAAAUCUGCCAAUUAUUUGAGUAAUAUUUUCAUCUUCACAUUAUUAAGCUGUAAGAUAUUAACUUCUUUUCAGAUAUAUGAACAAAAUCAGAUAUAUGAUUCUGACUAAUGAAUCAGGUUUCCCAGUUAUUUAGGCCUUUUUAAAUAUCUUUCAACAAUGGUUUAUAGUUUUCAGUAUACAAGUCUUGUGACUCCUUUGUUAAAUUUAUUCCUAAGUAUUUUAUUUUUUUAUGUUACUGUAAACACAACUGUUCUCUUAAUCUUCUUUCACUUGAUUGUAUGUAGGAAUCCAAAUAAACCAGUUAUGCAAUGAUUUAAUAUCUUGAAAUUUUAUGAGCUCAUUUAUUGGUAUUGACAGCUUUGUGUGUGUAUAUAUAUUCUUUAUAGUUUUUGACUUAUAAGAUUGACUUCUUUUCCAAUCUGGAUAUUUUUAUUUCUCUUUCCUGCAUAUUUGCUCUGACUACAACUUUAAGUAUUACGUUAAAUAGAAUAGUGAAAAUGGGCAUCCUUGUCUUGCUCUUGAUCUUAGGAGAAAAGUUUUCAGUCUUUCACCACUGAGUAUGAAAGUUGUGAGUUUUUCACAUGGCCACAGCAUGUUGAGAAAGUUUUCUUAUAUUCCUAGUAUAUUGAUUAAUUUUAUCAUGAAGGAGUGUUAAAGUUUGUUAAGUGCUUUUUCUGUAUCAAUUGAGAUGAUCAUGUAGGUUUUUCUUUUAUUCUAUUAGGUAGUUUAUUAAACUGACUGAUUUCAUAUGUUGAACCCUUCUUUUGUUAUUGGGAAAAAUCUCAAUUGGUCAUAGUGUACAAUGCUUUCAGUAUUCUGAAUUAAGUUUAUUGAUACUAUUGUGAGGACUUUUGCAUCUAUAUUGAUAAGGAAUAGUGGUCUAUAGUUUUCCUUUUCUUGUUGGGUCUUUGUCUAUAUUAGGAUAGUGCUAUAUUCACAGAAGGAGGUAGGACAUGUUUCCUCCUCUUCUCUUUUUGAAAAAGUUUGAGGACUGGUGUUAAUUUUUCUUUAAUUGUUUGGCACCUUCACCAAUGAAUCCUUCUGAUCUUGGGUUUUUCUUCAUUAGGAGGUUUUAGGUCACUGAUUAAACCUCUCUGUUUCUUUUAGUUCUAUUCAUAUUUCCUACUUCUUCUAGAGUAGGCUUUGGUGGUUUAUGGUUUGUUUUUACCUUAAUUUAUUUCUUGUUGCUAUUGUGAUUACUUUUUCUGAUCUAAUGUUGUUUAAGACCAUAAUUUUUAGAAAAAUUUUCACAUAUUUGUGAGUUUUUCACAACUUUUUCUUCUGUUAUUGAUGGUAGUUACAUUGCAGAGUAGUCAGAAAAGAAUUAUGAUUUCAAUAUUUUUAAAUUUAUUAAGAUGUUUUGUGAACUUAACAUAUGAUCUGUCUCAAAGAAUGUUCCGAAUGCAUUUGAGAAAAUUGUAUACUCUGCUACUGUUGAGUGAAGUGCUUUCUGAGUAUUAGAUAAAAUUGGUCUAUUGUGUUAAGUAUUAGAUACAAUUGGUCUAUUAAUCUUCUGUCUGGUUAUUCUAUUCACUAUUGAAAAUGGAGUAAUUAAGUCUCCAGAUAUUAUUGUUAAACUAUGCCUUCAAUUCUGUUAAUUUUAGUUUCACAUGUUUUGGGAGUGUUGUCAUUAGAUGGGUAUAUAAUUUGUAUGUUUUCUUGAUGUAGGGCAACUUUUAUCAAUAUAUAAUGUCUUUGGCCAGGUGUGGUGGCUCAGGCCUAUGAUCCCAGCACUUUGGGACUCUGAUUUGGGUGGAUCACAAGGUCAGUUCAAGACCAGCCUGACCAAUAUGGUGAAACCCUGUCUCUACUAAAAAUAUAAAAAUUAGCUCAGCGUGGUGGCAUGUACCUGUAGUCCCAGCUACUUGGGAGGUUAGGCAGGAAAAUUUCUUGAACCCGGAAGGCACAGGUUCCAGUGAGCCAAGAUGGAACCACUGCACUGCAGCCUGGGUGUCAGAGCAAGACUCCAUUACGUGUGUGUGUGUGUGUGUGUGUGUGUGUGUGUUCAUCUUUAUUUCACUCGUAAAAUUUUUGACUUGAAAUCUAUUUUGUAUGAUAGCAAUAUAGCCACCCAGCUCUGUUUUGGAUGCCAUUUGCAUGAAAUAUAUUUGUCCAUUGUUUUUAUGCAAACUUUUUGUGUUUUUGUAUUUACAAUGACUCUCUUGUGAACAGUAUGUAGAUGGAUCUUUUUUUGUUUAUUCUGCCAAUUUCUGUCUUAUGAGUAGCAGGGUUUGAUCCAGUUACGUUGAAAAUAAUUACUGAUAAGAAAAGACUUACUUCUGUCAUUUAAUUUUGUUUUCCGUAGGUUUGUUGUUGUUGUUGUUGUUGUUCUUCAAUUUCUCUAUUACCGCCACCAUUUUUUGGUAUUCUGUUGAUUUUUUUAUAGUUUGCCAGUUUUUCAUUUUGUAUUGUUUAAAGUUAUUUUCUUAGUGGUUUUCUGGGAAAUUACACUUAAUGUCUUAAACUUGUAACUAUCUAGCUUUAACAGUAACCCAAUUUAUAACCAACUUAGUUUCAAUAGCAUAGAAACAUUCUGCUUCUAUCCAUCUCCUUUCCUACCCUUUAUAUUGUUAUUGUCACAUAUUAUGUCAUUCUAUAUUGGGAACUCAUUACCAUAGAUUUAUAAUGAUUGUUUUACGCACUUUCCCUUUAAAUCAUAUAGGGAAAAAAGUACAAGUAAAAAGUACAAUAAGAGUGGCUUGUAUAUAAAGUUACUUUUACCAGUCUUCUUUAUUUCCUCUUAUAUCUUGAGUUCAUGCUGGUAUUCUUUCAUUUCAGCCUGAAUAACUCCUUUUAGCAUCUCUUAUGGGAAAAAUUUACUGGCUUCUUUUGCCAACCUGACAAAGAAGAAUGGGCUGUUCACCACACCAUUUUCUCUUCCUCCAUGUCACUCAGCUAGGCUCCUCUUGCCAGCCUCUUUUGCAGGUGUUAGAUAAAAUAGUAGAAUGUUAAAGUGGUACAUACCUGGCCAUUCAGACCUCCCACAUAUGAUUAUCUCAAUACAUGCAGUAAAAGCCUUUGAUAAAAUUUAACAUCCCUUCAUGUUAAAAAUGCACAGUAAACUAGAUAUUGAUGGAACAUAUCUCAAAUUCUUCUUAAACUUUUCUAAAGUUUAGAACUAGAGAGAAUACAGUCAAACCCAUUUUGGGGCCAGCAUCAUUCCUGUGUCAAAGUCAGACACAAUAAGAAAACUACAGACCACUAUCUAAGAUGAACAUAGAUGGAAAAAUCAUCACUAGAACACCAGCAAAAUGUACUCAAGAAACAUCAACAAAAUUACACAUAAUGACCAAGUUGGAUUUAUCCCUGUCUCAGCACUGUUUUUAUCAUGAAACAAUGGUAAAGAGGCUGAAAAGACAACUUAAAUACUGAGAGAAUAGAUUUACCAAACAUGGUCUCUCUUAAAAGUUUAAUAUCUAAAAUAUGUAAGAAAUUCAAACAACACUAAUAGCAAAAUAAAUAAUAACCUGAUUAAAAAAUAGGUAAAGGACCUGAACAGACUUAUCUCCAGAGAAGACAUAAAAAUGGCCAACAAGUACCUGAAAAUGUGCUCAACAUCACUAGUCAACAGGGAAAUACAAAUCAAAACCACAAUGAUUUAUCCACUAACAUCUGGUGAGAUGCUUGUUGUGAAAAAGUCAAGAGAUAAGUAGUGGUGAGGGUGUAGAGAAAAGGAAACACUUGUAACCUGUUGAUAGGAAUGCAGAUUUAUGUAGCCACAUUUUUAUUUGUUUGUUAAGCAAAAUAUCCUUGUUGGCAAAGUCCCAUGUGAAAUAUAGAAUGCAGUAUUAUUCUAAGAUGGAGUUUAAUGAUGGGUUGCUCGAUACACCCAAAUUUCAUAGUUUUGGGGUAUUUCUGGAUUUACUUCCUCAGAGUUUCCUCUCGUAGUUGUGGGAGACUUUUCUAUUUCUGUUGCUACCUGGCUGCCAAAUAUUACUUCUUUCUAGAAUUCAUUUAAAUAGUAUAAUCCAUCAAAAAUAUAAAGAUUUUUGUGAGUUUUGAAAAAAAAUGUUGUAUUACACAAGGAGUCAAUGGAAAUCUUCUUGGCCCGGUGUAUUUUCCAUCCUUCCUCUUGUGGACAUUCUUCAUCCAAAAGGUUCCAGGCCUCUGGUGAAGUGUCUUUCCCCACUGAGUCUAGUCCCUAGGUCUUAGAAGGGAGUGACUCCCUGAAGCUGAUGCUAAUUUUUAGCUAUGUUGAAUUCUAAUGAAUAAUAUUCACAUCACAUUAAAUUUUUAUUUCUUAUGAAAUUGUUCUAAAUUGCCAUCUUGUCUCCCAGUCCUUGAAGAAUAAAUGGACCUUGAUCUUGCAGAUCCAGCAAUCUUAAUUCAGUUCAGCUGCCACAUUUGACAGAUGAGGAAACUAAAGCUCAGAGAAGGGAAGUGAUUUAUCACAAAAUAUUGGGGCUGUUUGGAAGCAGAGCUGAAGCCAUAACUCUGGUCUUUUUUCUCUUAGGCCAAUGCCCCUAUCCACUUGUGACAUUUUUUGCUUCCUUCCUGAUUGGCAAGAUUGUAAUAAUGAAAGGUGACAGCGUUGCUUAUGCACCUUGUAUUCUUGUCUAUUAUAACUAUAAACCCAAAUAUGUUUCCCAGAAUAGUUAAUCAUCUAGUAGAAGGUAGUGUGAUUUCUCGUCCUGUAAAUCAUUAAAAAAACACCUCUGGUACCUUCUAUUAUGUUCGCCAUAUUGUUUUUUAGGCUAUAAGGAAGUGAUCUCAUGUAGUUGUGUAUAAAUACUGCCUGUUGGUCUCUCCUUAUUAGUAGAUGCUGACUAACAUUACAAGGUAAUAAUUGGUUAUAUUGUACUAGGAGAAUAACAGUUUAUAACAAUAUUACCUGCAAUAAACUACAUAGUUUAUUUUCUAUUCAAUGAAGCAAUUGUUUGGCUUUUUGGCUACACAGUUUUUUGCAUAGCUAAGUUUGUUUUGUCAUAAGGCAAUCAGGCGGCACAAAAGUAUUAACAACUACAGGAAACCAGCAUCUAGCAAAGAAAUUUGAAGAUCAUGUUCACCCUGAAUAAACAAGUGGCUUUAAAAAUUCUUCCAACUUUUAACUUCAAACAGAAAAGUUGAAAAAGAAGUACGGUAAAGACACAUGUGCCCUUUAUUUAGAUUCACAAAUUAACAUUUUCUGGGAUUGGUUUUGUGUGUCUCUAUGUCUCUUUUCCUCUUCACAUACACACUCAUUUUCUCUCUCUUACACACACGUACAUAUACAUGCAUACGCUCACAUUUUGUGUAGCUCUGAACUGCCUGAAAGCAAUAUUCAGAUAUCAAGAUUGUACAAGAAUACUUAAGGCAGUUUUCCCAAAAUUAGCACAUUCUUUUAUAUUACUACAAUAACAAUCACAAGACAUUUGCUACUGAUAAUUAAUAUUAUGUAGUAUGCAGUCUAAAUUUAAAUGUCUCCACUUGCUCUCAAAUAUUCUUUAUAUUAGUCAGGGAUCUUAUAUUGGAAUUUUUAUCAUGUUUCUUAUUUUCAUCAGUCUUGAAUAUUGCUUCCCCUCCACCAUUUCCCUCAUCUUUUGCAACCUUGACAUUUUUGAAGAGUGCAGACUAAUUGUCUCUUAGACUAUUUCUCAAACUGGAUUCAUCUAACUGUUCUUCUGGAUUAGACAAAAUGUUUAGGCAAAUAUUAUGUUUCCCAUUGCAUUCCAUCGAGAAGUUUAUAAUGUCAUUUUAUCUCAAUAUUUGUGAAGCUAAGUUUCAUCUCUUCAUUUUAAAUUCCUUACUUAAUAAACAUUAAAUGGAUAAUAGAGAUAUAUGAAUGUCCUUUUCCUAACAAUAUGUUAGUGUAUAGUGUUAGGAGUAAUUUCAUGCCAGAAUCUCAUAUUAACUUGGUGGUAUUUGUAAAACAGUGAUUUUAAAAUUCAGGCAUUUUUCUAGCUCAGGGGCCAGUCAAUUUUUCCAGUAAAGAGCCACAUUCUAAGUAUUUUAGGCUUUGUGGGCCACAUACGGUCUCUGUUACUUAUUCUAGUUCUUCUUUAGCUGUGUAAAAAUUAUUAGCUCAUGGACUGCAGGAAAAUGGUCUGCAGCAGCAUUUGGGCCAUGAGUAGUAGUUUGUCAAAGUCCUGUUCUGUGUUAUAAAGAAGAGCUUUCCUUUUCCUCGUAACACAUGUGUGUGUGUGUGUAUGUGUUUGUGUGUGUGUGUGUGUUAGAGGGAGAGAAUGAGAUCCUUAAUAACUUUUUUUCUUUAUAGAGUUGAUCUCUUUAAGCUUUUUUUUUUUUUAAAUAAAUACACUUUGGAUUUAACUCUGGUAAAUAACACUGUCUUAAGAAAAUUUCAUCUUCUAUGCUUUCUGAUACAAUAGCCACUAGCUUCAUGAGACCAUUCAAAUUUAAACUAAGUAUAAUGAAAUUAUAAUUCAAAAUUAAAUAAAUUAAUAAUUCAAAAAAAUUAGUUUCUCUGUCACAUGAGUCACAUUUAAGUGUACAAGUAUUCACUCAACACUCGUAGCUAGUGGCUACAUAUUGAACAGUGCAGAUGUAGGACAUUUUUAUGAUUUAGAAGUUGUAUUGGAUAGUAAUAUAUGCAGAUUUCAAAUGUAUUUGCACAGAGUUAUGCAAAAUAGUCCCUCAUAAUUAGAGUUAACUUAUACUUUUUUUCUUGUCUUUUAUUUGCUUUUAUGCUUAUUUCCCUUCUUAGUAAUUUGUCUAUUCCUUUUCUUUUAAGGUACCAAAGUAUUUAUUAUAUCUAUUGUUUUUUUGUUUUUAUCUCACAUUUUUCUUUACUUAUGCUUUCUUUUGAUUUAGUUUAUCAGUUUUUUUUUAAACUUUUAUUUUAGGUUCAGAGGUACCUAUGCAGGUUUACUAUAUAGGUGUCACUGGGGAUUUGUGCACAGAUUAUUUAGUCACUUAUGUGGUAGGCCAUGUACCUGAUAGGUAGUUUUUAAGUCCUGACCAUCAUCCUUCCCUCCAUCCUCAAAUAAGUCCCAGUGUCUGUUGUGUCCAUGUGUACUCAAUGUUGAGCUUUUACUUGUGAGAACAUUUAGUAUGUGGUUUUCUGUUCCUCUGUUAGUUUAUAUAAGAUAAUGGCUUUUACCUUCAUCCAUGUUGCUGCAAAGGACAUGACCUCAUUUAUAAAUAAAACAUAAAACAGGACAUGACCUGUUUUAUGGCUCCAUCAUAUUUUGUGGCGUAUAUGUACCACAUUUUCUUCAUUAGUCUAGAAUUGAUGGGCAUUUAAGUUGGUUUCAUGUCUUUGUUAUUGGGAUUUAUGCUGCAAUGAGCAUAUGCGUGCAUGUAUCUUAUUCUUUCCUCUAUGAUCUUCCUUCCCUCCUUCCCUUUCUCUCUUCUUGGCCUCCUCUUUCCUUCCUUCCUCUUUUUUCUCUCUCUUCCUUUCUUUCUCUUUCUCUCUUCCUUUCUUUCUUUCUCUCUUAUCUUCCUUCCUUCCUGUCUUUCUUUCUUUCUCUUUCUGUUUCUUUUUCUUUUUUCUUUCUUCCUUCCUCCUUCCCCACCUCCUUCCUUCCUCUCCUCCUUCCUUCCCUCCCUCCCUCCCUCCUUCUCUCUGCUUCUGUCACCCUGGCUGGAGUGCAGUGUCACCAUCUUGCCUCAUUGCAAGCUCCACAUCCCAGGUUCAAAUGAUUCUCCUUCAUUAGUCUCCCAAGUAGCUGGGACCACAAGCGCCUGCCACGAGAUCUAGCUGAUUUUUGUAUUUUUUAUUAGAGGCUGGGUUUCUCUGUGUUGCUCAGGUUAUCAGGCUGGCCUCGAACUCCUGACCUAAGGUCAUCUGCCCACCUCGACCUCCCAAAGUGCUGGGAUUACAGGUGUUAGCCACCACACCUGGCCUCCAUCGCUCCCUUUUGUAUCCCCCAACUCACACCUUGCCCAUGCCACUCAUGCGUACCCCCUGCCUUUCCCCACAGUCACUUUUGAGUCCUGCACUAAAUAGCCUUCAGUCCAGAGACCAGACAUCAGACAGCAAUCUGGACCUCUUCCUUGAUCAAAGAUGAGACCUCCACAAGAGGGAAAUGCCUGCUAUGGAGCCUGCAGGCUGAACACAGUCACUCUUCAGGCAAACAGCUAGAACAGAACUGAGUAAAAUCUCCAGCCAAAAAAAAACUUCUCAUUCAACUCAUCCCUAACCCCAUUUUACAGAUUGAAACACUAAGGCUCAGAGGGGAGGAGACAGAGUAGGCACUGGACAAUAGUCUUUUGGCUCCAAAGCCAAGUUCUGUCCACCCAGCCAGGCUCCAUCCUUCCUUCUAUAAAUGUUUAUAACAGUAUGUGCUGGGCACUCUUCUUAGGCUCUUUUACACAUAUCACUCAGUCUGCUUUUCCCAUUCUUUUGACAAGUAUUUAUUGAGCUUCUACUGUGUGCAUGAACUGGACUCGAUACUAUGGAUAUCUUGGUAAAAAACUCAGGCAAAGUCUACCCCCCUGGGGUUCUAACAACACAAAGAGAGGGUUGGUGCUGUGGGCAAGGCUGUGAAGGCAAUGAAUGAAAUGGUGGGGUCACACAGGAAGGGUGUUCAGGGAUUCUCUCUGCAUGGAAGGGGCAUCUUCUUGGCUUUGAGAUGCAAAUGCUAAAAUACCUGUGAGCAGCAGGCCAUGCCCACUCAGUAACAGAGCUGAGCCGCAACCCUCCAUAGAUGCCAAACCAAACACCAGAUCAGGCCACAAAACCACCUAAGGGCUGGCUGGUUGUGCAUUUGGAAGAGGGGGUGCUGUUCUUCCUCCAGGUUGACAACAUGAUAGAUUGAAAUAUACAUGGGAUGCUGGGAGCAGUGGCUCAGGCCUAUAAUUUUGGCACUUUGGGAGGCUGAGGCUGGUGGAUAACCUAAGGUAGGAUUUCAAAACCAGCCUGGCCAACAUGGUGAAACCCAUCUCUUAAACAUACAAAAAUUAGCUGGGUGUGGUGGCAUUUGUGGGAUUACAUUGCCUAUAAUCCCAACUACUCAGGAGGCUGAGGUGGAAGAAUCACUUGAAUCCAGGAAGUAGAGGUUGCAGUAAGCUGAGAUCUCACCACUGCACUGCAGCCUGGGUGGCAGAGUGAGACUUUGUCUCAAAAAAAAAAAAAGGAAAGAAAAGUGCAUGAGCUCUGGAGGUGGAGAGAUGGAAUUGAAUCCCAGCUUUUACUUCUCAGUUGUGUGCCCUUGGACAAGUUGGCUUCUCAGAGCUUCAGUUUUCUCAUCUGUGAAAUGGGAACAACAUCUGGCUUGCCGGCGGUCUUAGGAUGACUGGGGAGUGUCUGGUACGUAGUAGGUGCUCAACGUGUGUGCUUUCCCAUGGCCAUCUAAAAGUCCUCAGGGCUGCCCUCCUGCCCUUCCCCCACAACUCCUGUGACUGCCUCUUAAAUGGGCACUCAAGGUGGUAAGGAGGCACAGGUGAGGGAGCCACGCUGGAUCCACACCCACCCACGCCCAUUGUUAGGAAAACAAGCUUUUAGUGCCUGGCCCUGCUGCUGCUGGUGGCUGAGAGUAUAAAACGGGACCCAGAGCCAGCCUCUCCCUUCCUGUAAGGCACACCAAGGCAAUGGUGUUUAAAAUGAAAAGAGGCAGUGGCAUGGAGGCUACGGAGACUGAGCCAUUCCUGCGGCAAAAAGGGAGGCAGUGGGGCCCCCUGCUGAGGGUUAUCUGGCAAGUGUUUCAUUCUACCUUCCUCAUGGGACCCACAGCCUCUUCAUCAGUGAUGUCUUCAGGUUCACUGUCCCCAAGCUGCUUAGGUGAGUCCAGACUUCAGGAUCUCGCUAAGGCUUGUGGUCUCUUAAUGGCAUCCAUUCAGAGUCCGGGGGCUUCAGCUCUCAUGCCUCUGCCUAUAGAUCUGGUGCUCGGGACACUGGAGGGUGGGUGGGAAGGAUACUGAAAAAGGAAAAUGAUUAAUGAGAAAGUGACUGUCCCCCACAGGGGCAAAUAAGUAAGCUCUUACCUGACUGUAUAAAUUAGCUUUUGUUGUAAAAUGCCCCCAAAUGAGUGGCUUAAAGUUAUAAGCAUUCAUUUAUUUAGUUUAUAGUAAUGUGGGUCAGUAACGUGGACUGGGCUCAGCUGGGUGGGCCUUCUUUUCUUGGCUGGGUUUUCUCAUGUGCGUGUAGUUGUGUCUGAAGCUAGCUCAGACAUGUUCAUGUGGCUAGUAGGGAGGGUUCUAAGCAAUAGGCCAAAAGCUACAUUUUCUCUUGAGGCUCACAGCUGGCAUAGCUUUACCUCCACUCUACUCUUGGUCAAAGGUGGUUUUGUGGCCAGCCCAGGUCCAAGUUGUGUCUGCUCAGCUGCCAUAACAGAGUAUCACAGACUGAGUAGCUUCAACAACAGAAAUGUAUUUUCCUCUUGUUUCUGGUGGCUGUGAGUUCCAGAUCAGGUAUCUGCAAGUUGGUUCCAUCUGAGGCUUCUGCCUCUGGUGUGCAGUUGGCCACUUUCUCCCUGUGUCCUCAUAUGGUCUUUCCUCUGUAACCACCCAGGUGUUUCCCUGUGUGUCUACAUUUUCUCCUCUUAUCAGGAGUCCAGAAUGGGUGAAGGCCCAGCCUAAUGACCUCAUUUUAACUUUAUUGCCUUUUUAAAGGCCCUAUUUCCAAACACAGUCACAUUCAGAGGUACCGGGGGUUGGGGCUUCAACAUACACAUUUUGUGAGGACACAAUUUACCUCAUAACAAGGGGAGAGAAAAACACCAUCUGUUGAUCUUGAGGAGCUGCAGUAAGAUUGAAAAUAAGCAUGGACAGUGGGGGAAAUAACCGAGAUCACGAUUGCGAAAAAGUCAACCACGCCGACUGAUCCUCCACACCUGGCCUGGUUUGGGCAAAGGCAACACACAUGGGCACCUACUCUCACCAGCUGUAUCUUCUCCCUCCUUCCCCUGCAAGCCUUUUUCUGGAGUUUAUUGGUGAUCCCAAGUCUCAGGCCUGGAAGGGCUACCUCCUCGCAAUGCUGAUGUUCCUCUCUACCUGCCUGCAGACGCUGUUUGAGCAGCAGAACACGUACCAGAUUAAGGUGCUGCAGAUAAGGCUGCAGUCUGCCAUCACUGGCCUGGUGUAAAGAAAGGUGAGUCCCGGGGGACAAGUGCAGGUCUUCCCAGCCGGGAAAAGGAACAAAACUGAACUGGUUGGAAGUAAUGCUAUCAGCAGCUGAGAACGCUUUCAGUCCUCACUUAUUAGAGUCACUCACGAUAUAUUCUCACUUCCUUUGUUAUUUCUCUUUAUUUGGAUGUAUUUAUUUUGUUGAGACAGAGUCUUCACCCACCGUGGCUUCCUAGAGUGCUGGGAUGAUAGGUUUGAGCUACCUCACCCGGCCUCCUUUCCUUCUUAAGUCUGAGUCAUAUUCUGCUUAGCAGAUGGAUCACACUGUGUUUUUUUUUUCAUCUGAUGGUGGACCCGUUGGUUGAUUUUGUCUUUUGGCUUUUGUGAAUUGUGCUGCUGUGAGCACAGGUGUGGAAAUCCCUCUCGAAGUUUCUGCUUUCUAUUCUUUUGGCAUGGAUGGCAAUGGCUUUGUUAGAGCCAAUGGUAAUGCUGUGUGGAAGUGUUUUGAGGGACCACCAUUCAUAAAGUGUUUUGUUGUUGUUGUUGUUGAGAUGGAGUCUCACUGUGUCACCCAGGCUGGAGUGCAGUGGCAUGAUCUGGCCUCACUGUAACCUCCUCCCAGGUUCAAGCCAUUCUCAUGUCUCAGCCUCCUGAGUAGCUGAGAUUACAGACAUCUGCCACCACACCUGGCUCAUUUUUGUAUUUUUAGUAGAGACAGGGUUUCACAAUUUUGGCCAGACUGGUCUCGAACUCCUUGCCUCAGGUGACCCGCCCACCUCGGCCUCCCAGAGUGCUGGGAUUGCAGGUGUGAGCUACCUCCCCUGGCUGUUGUGAAGUGUUUUAAUCAUCCUGUUUUACUGUUCUUCACCUGGGGUUAUGAUCUCAACCCUGCUUCUCUCUGUUCCUGCUAAGGGACUCCUCGUAGGCAGCCCAGUCCUUGCCUCUGUCCAGGAGACAGCAUACCUGGAAGUGAAGUUGGGUCAGUCCUGCCUCAGUGCUGCUUCUGUUUUAGGUAAAUAUCCUGUGGGUUUAGGAGAGGAAAUACCAAGUGCACAUAUGAAACACCAUGGGCAUCCCCCAACUCAAGACUGUGGGAGAGAUGGGGUGUUGGAGGAGAGGUAAACCUGGAAGCCACUUAGCCCGACUCUGUCCCCUGCCCCAACUUUUUUUUUGAGAUGGUGUCUUGCUCUGUCACCCAGCCUGGAAUGCAGUGAUGCAAUCUUGGCUCACUGCAACCUCCACCUCUCAGGUUCAAGAGAUUCUACUGCCUCAUCGGCCUGAGUAGCUGGGACUACAGGUGAGUGCUACCACACCUGGCUAAUUUUUGCAUUUUUAGUAGAGCUGGGGUUUUGCCCUGUUGGCCAGGCUGGUAUCCAACUCCUGACCUUAGGCGAUCCACCCACCUCGGCCGCCCAAAGUGCUGUGAUUCCAGGCGUGAGCCACUGCGCUCAGCCAAGCCCUGCUCCGUUCUAAUUCUACUGUCUGUGAAAGGCCUCUGGGAGCUUACAGAAACAAUGGCCCCAGUAUGAUUUCUCCCACUCCCUUGCUCCUGGAGUUCUGGGGACCCACAGUGAGAAGUGAUUGUUUUCCUCACUCAUCUGGAUGUGAUGAGCCUGGUCAAAGAAGUUUACUGUUGCUGACUUGCAGCUGAUCAGGUCCCUGCCCUGUGGAAAUUGCCCCUACUAAUUCCUUAUGCCUCAGUUUACCCAGCUAACUCAGAUCUAUAGCUCUGCCCCAGGCUGGGUUAGGCUCCUCGCUGUCACUCCAUGUGGGAAUCUCCCGUUAUUUAUUUAUUUAUUUAUUUAUUGAGACAGGAUCUUACUCUAUCACCCAGGCUGGAGUGCAGUGGUACAAUCUCAGCUCACUGCAACCUCUGCCUCCAGGGUCCAAGUGAUUCUCCUUCCUCAGCCUACUGAGUAGGAGGCCACCACGGUCUGCUAAUUUUUGUAUUUUUAGUAGAGACGGGUUUCCUCAUGUUGGUCAGGUGGGUCUCAAACUCUUGACCUUGUGAUCCACCCGCCUCAGCCUCCCAAAGUGCUGAGAUUACCAGCUCACACCGCGCUGUUCCCGUGUGACACUUCAGUGAAGUCUGGUGUGUAGGUGAUGGCUGCCUGAAUAUCUUCUCACCACAGGGCAGGGCUGGGGGCUGUGUUGUCUAUAAAUUCCUCAGCUUUUUAUGCUGGUAAGGAAAGAAGGAAGAGGGGGCCCUCAGGGGACAUGCAGCAAGGUUUGGUGUGGACAUAGCUCACCAGAUUGUACUUGGUGUUCCCAUGUAACUUGUAACCGCUCUCAUAGAAAGUGGCCUAGAACCCCAGAGAGUGGGGGUUGCUCUCUAUCAGCUAGGUGUCGGGGGAAGAGAAGCUGAGGCUGUACAGAGCCAGGAGACAGGACAGGGCAACCAGGGCCAGGUGCGGUGGCUAACGCCUGUAAUUCCAGCAGUUUGGGAGGCUAAGGCCGGUGGACCAUUUGAGGUCAGGAGUUUGAGACCAGCUGGCCAACAUGGUGAAACCCCAUCUCUACUAAAAAUACAAAAUUAGCCAGGCAUGCUAGUGCAUGCCUGUAAUCCUGGAUACUCAGGAGGGUGAUGCAGGAGAAUCUCUUGAAUAUGGGACGCUGAGGUUGCAGUGAGCCGAGAUCAUGCCAUUGCACUCCAGCCUGGCAAACAAGAGCAAAACUCUGUUUCAAAAAGAAAAAAGAAAAGGAAUUUGCUCUGCAAAUAUGGCUGCAGGUGCAACCCCUGAUGUGUCCUCCCUUCCCUGCUCCUGCUCAUGCUCCAACAUCACCCCCAACCCCCAGCCAUGGAUUCAAAGUCCUGCAGUGCAGACAGCAUGGAUUUGCAGAGCUGUGAGCCUGGGGUCUGUCCUGCAGCAGGAGACACAAAGGAGGGAGCCCUGGGUUUGAGCCAGAGUCAGCCUGUGGUGUCCCCCUGGAGGCCCUUGGUCCCGUUGUGUUUUGUGACACUCCCCUAUAUUCUCACACAAGCCACCCUCAUUUUCAGCAUAAAUACAGAUGCUCCUUAACUCAUGAUGGUGUCAUGUCCCCAUAAAUCUGUCAUAAAUUUGUAAUAGCAGCCAAGUCCAGUAGCUCACAUCUGCAAUCGCAGCACUUUGGGAGGUCAAUGUGGGAAGAUUGCUUGAUCCCAGGAGUUCAAGACUAGCCUGGGCAACAUAGAGAGAUUCUAUCUCUAUGUGGGGGAAAAAAAGUAAAAAUAUACUAAGUUGAAAAUGCAUUUAUUUAUUUUUUGAGACAGUCUCACACUGUCAUCCAGGCUUGAGUGCAGUGAUGCAAUCUUGGCUCACUGCAACCUCUGCCUAUCAGGUUCCAGUGCUGGGAUUACAGGCAUGAACCACCGUACCUGGCCUAUUUAUUUUUAUUUUUGAAGGUGGAGUCUGGCUCUCUUUCCCGGGCUGCAGUACAGUGAUCCCAUCUUGGCUCACUGCCUGCAACCUCUGCCUCCCGGGAUCAAGUGAUUCUCCUGCCUCAGCCUACUAGGUAGCUGGGACUACAAGCACGCUACCACACCCAGCUACUUUUUGUAUUUUCAGUAGAGACAGGAUUUCACCAUGUUGCCCAGCCUGCUCUUGAACUCCUGAGCUUAGGCAAUCUGCCCACCUCAGCCUCCCAAAGUGCAGGGAUUACAUGUGUGAGCCACCAUACCCGGCCCGCAAAUGCAUGUAAUACACCUACCCUACCAAGUAUUGGAGGUUAGCCCAGCCGACUUUGGGUAGAGAACAAGCAAGCAGUAGUAAAAGGAGAACAAAACCCUCUCACCCUUCCCCACCUUGGAUCAUGACUUUGACGUUUCAGGGGUCCAACCUUCAUGAAUGUUUGUAGAAAUAGGUAAUAAACUUGGAUUAAUGUACCCACGCUUAAGUGUACAAUUCAAUGGCAUUUGGUAGAUUCACAAUAUUGUGGAACCAGUGCCACCAUCUGUUUCUAAACUUUCUCAACAUCCCAAAUAGAAUGCUGUCCUCAUGAAGCAAUAGUUUACCUACUUUUUAAUUUUUAUGUAUGUAUGUAUGUAUGUAUUUAUUUAUUUGUUUAUUUAUUUUGAGACCGAGUCUUGCUCUGUCUCCCAGGAUAGAGUACAAUAGCGCAAUCUCGGCUCACUGCUACUUCUGCCUCCCAGGUACUAAGCAAUUUUCCUGCCUCAGCCUCCGGAGUUGGGAUUAUAGGCGCAUGCCACCACACACAGCUAAUUUUUGUAUUUUUAGUAGAGACGGGGUUUCACCGUGUUUCUCAUGCUGGUCUCGAAUUCCUGACCUCAUUAUGAUUCACCCACCUCAGCCUCCCAAAGUUUUGGGAUUACAGGCGUAAGCCACCAUGCCCGGCCUACAUUUUUUGUUUUGUCAGAGACGAGGUUCUGCUCUGUUACCCAGGCUGAAGUGGCUUGAUUAUAGCUCACUGCAGCCUCAAUCUCUUGGGCUCAAGUGACCCCUCCUGCCUCAGCCUCCCAAGUAGAUGGGACUACAAGUGUAAACAAUUGCACGUGGCUAAUUUUUAUCUUUUUUAUAAAGAGAGGAUGUCACUAUGUUCCCAGGCUGGCCUCAAACUCCUGGGUUUUAGCCAUCCUCCCACCUCAGCCUCCCUGGGGGGAGGGCAGCCGUAUAGUCAUUCUAGAUUGGUAGAUAGUUGUUCGAUGGUAGAAACUUUUCGCUUUGAGGAGAAUGCUUCUCAAAUUAUGAAAAUUAUAAGAAUAACUGCUGUUAGUGAGAUGAAAGAUCCCACAGAUGAGACAGUGUUUCAUGUGGUAUAUGCAUCUGGAUAGUCUGAGUAUCGUCGAGGUAUUCCGGAUAGGCCAAGGAAGUGCUGCGGAAAAAAGGUUAGAUUUACUCCUACAAACAUAAUAGUAAAAUGAACUUUAGCAUAGGCUUGGUCAAGUGUGUAGCCUGAAAACAGUGGAAAUCAGUGAAUAAAGCCUCCCAUAAUAGCAAAUACUGCUCCCAUAGAUAAUACGUAAUGAAAGUGUGCUACUACAUAGUAUGUGUCGUGUAAUACAAUGUCUAAUGAUGAGUUGGCUAAUGCAAUUCCUGUCAAUCCGCCCACGGUGAAAAGAAAAAUAAAGCCCAAGGCCCAUAGUAUUGCAGGGGAUCAUUUAAUAUUACCGCCGUGUAGUGUAGCUAGUCAGCUAAAUACUUUUACUCCGGUGGGGAUUGCGAUGAUUAUAGUAGCUGAUGUGAAAUAUGCGCGAGUGUCUACAUCUAUUCCUACUGUGAACAUAUGGUGGGCCCAUACAAUAAAUCCCAGGAAGCCAAUGGAUAUUAUAGCUCAGACCAUACCCAUGUAGCCAAAUGGUUCUUUUUUAUUGGAAUAAUAUGUUACAAUGUGUGAAAUUAUUCCGAAACCUGGUAGAAUGAGAAUAUACACUUCAGGGUGACCAAAAACUCAGAAUAGAUGUUGAUAUAGAAUGGGAUCUCCGCCACCAGCAGGGUCGAAGAAAGUAGUAUUGAGAUUACGAUCAGUUAGUAAUAUAGUAAUUCCGGCAGCUAGGACUGGAAGGGAAAGUAGAAGAAGGACCGCUGUAAUUAGGACAGAUCAUACGAAUGGGGGGGUUGAUAUUGGGUCAUGGCUGGGGGUUUUAUGUUGAUAAUUGUUGUAAUAAAGUUAAUAGCCCCUAGAAUGGAGGAGACACCUGCUAAAUGCAACGAAAAAAUAGUUAGGUCUACAGAAGCUCCUGGGUGUGAUAUGUUACCUGCUAAGGGUGGGUAAACUCUUCAGCCAGUUCCGGCACCAGCUUCUAGGGUAGAGGAUGCGAGUAGGAGAAGGAAUGAAGGGGGUAGAAGUCAGAAGCUCAUGUUGUUUAUUCGGGGAAAUGCUAUGUUGGGAGCACCAAUUAUUAAAGGGACAAGUCAGUUCCCAAAGCCUCCAAUUAUGAUUGGUAUUACUAUGAAGAAAAUUAUAAUAAAUGCGUGAGACGUUACAAUAACAUUGUAGAUGUGAUCAUCUUCUAUUAGGCUUCCCGGUUGGCCUAAUUCUGCUCGGAUUAGGAGGCUUAGGGCUGUUCCUACUGCUCCUGCUCAUGCACCAAAUAAUAAGUAUAGAGUUCCGAUGUCUUUGUGAUUGGUUGAAAAUAAUCAGCGAUUUAUGAACAUAGUUAGGGGUAAAAUGGCUGAGUAAGCAUUAGACUGUAAAUCUAAAGACAGAGGAGUGACCCCUGUUUUUACCAGCCCCGAGGUGACAUAUCAUAUUGAAUUGCAAAUUCAAAGAAGCAGCUUCAACUCUGCCGGGGCUUCUCCCGCCUUUUUUUCCCUGACGGUGGGAGAAGUAGAUUGAAGCCAGUUGAUUAGGUUAUUUAGCUGUUAACUACAUUUUUGUGGGUUAGAGUCCCAUCAAUCUAGGAAGGGCUUAGCUUAAUUAAAGUAAUUGAUUUGCGUUCAGUUGAUGCAGAAUAAAGUUCUGCAGUCCUUAUAAUGGUGCAGAAAUUAAGUAAAGUUUACUUACUAAGGGCUUUGAAGGCUCUUGGUCUUAUUAACCUAAAUUUCUAGUUUAUAAGUAUUAGUGGGGUUAAAGGUAGUAGUAAUGUGGAAAAAGUUACGAGUGGGGGUAGGAGUGGCAUUGGUUUUAUGUGUUUUAGUUGUCAGUUAAUUUUUGUGUUGUUGGAUGCGGGGAAUAUUGUUAUUGAGUUGGAGUAUGUUAGGCGUAUAUAGAAGUAGAGGUUUAUUAGUGUUAAUAUGGCUAUUGUGAGUGGGAUAAUUAGGUUAUUGUUUUUUGUAAGUUCUUGUAUAAUAGCUCAUUUAGGGGAGAAGACUGUUAGUGGGGGUAAGCCUCCUAAGGAUAUUAUUAGUGGAAUUAUGGGUAUUAUUCAUGUUAGUUUGUUUCAAGUGUGCGAUAGUGAUAGGGUUGUUACAUUUGAGUUUAGGUAAAAAAUUAUGAAUGUGGAGAUUGUUAGGAAGAUAUAAAUAAUAAGGGUUAGAAUGGUGAUGCUUGGGUUGUAGUAUAGCACUGCUAUUAUUCAUCCCAUGUGGGUGAUUGAGGAGUAGGCUAGAAUUUUUCGUAGUUGUGUUUGGUUAAGUCCCCCUCAGCUGCCAACCAUAAUUGAUAGGAUUGAGAUCAUUAGGAUAAUGUUCAUAUUUAUUGAUGGGAAGAUUUGAAAUAUGAUUGACAAGGGGGCAAGUUUUUGUCAUGUGAGAACAAUUAUGGCUGGAAUUAGGGGGAUUCCUUGGGUUACUUCUGGAAGUCAGAAGUGGAGGGGAGCUAUUCCUAUUUUUAUUACUAGGGCAAUCAGUAUUAUUGUGGAUAAAAUUUGGUUAUGGGGUGGGUUGAUUGUUCAUUGUCCGGAGGUUAAGUUAUUAAGGAAAAUGGCUAUUAGGAGAAUUAUUGAUGCUGUUGCUUGGAUUAGAAAGUAUUUAGUAGAAGCUUCUGUGGAUCGGGGGUUUGUGUUUUUGGCUAAAAUUGGUACGAUGGCUAAUCUAUUCAGUUCUAGGCCUAUUCAGGCUAGAAAUCAGUGUGAGCUUAGAAUUGUAAUUGUGGUUCCUGUUAGGAUGGUUAAGGAAAUAAUGAGGUGGGCUAGGGGGUUGAUAUUAGUACGGUAAGGAUUUAACCAACAUUUUCGGGGUAUGGGCCCGAUAGCUUAUUUAGCUGACCUUACUGUUUAGGAUAUGGUGUAAUAGGUAGCACGGAGAGUUUUGAGUUCUCAGGUAUGGGUUCAAUUCCUAAAAUCCUAGAAAUAAGAGGGUUUAAACCUCUAUAAUUUACUCUACCAAAGUAACUCUUUUGUCAGACAUAUUUCUUAUGUUUGUGGUGGGAUGCCAGAUAUUAAGAUGGGCAUUGAAAUCUAUCAUAUGCAUAGUGCUAGUGUAAGAGGUAAGAAAUUUUUUCAUAGGAGGUAUAUUAGUUGAUCAUAGUGGAAUCGAGGAUAUGCUGUUCGAAUUCAUAGGAAUAGGGUGGUUAGUAGGAGGGUUUUAGUUAUAAAGUUGAUUGUGUAUGUUUCUGAUAUGGUUAUGUUGAAUGAUGUUGCUAGGAAGAUGGUGGUGGUUAGGGCAUUUAUUAUGAUAAUAUUUAUGUAUUCUGCUAUAAAGAAUAGGGCGAAUGAGCCUGCGGCAUAUUCAAUAUUAAAGCCUGAAACUAGCUCUGAUUCACCUUCUGUUAGGUCAAAGGGGGCUCGGUUGGUUUCUGGGAUUAAGGGCAUGAGCCACUGCACUUGGCCCUCAUGCAGUUUAUUGAAUACUAUACUAACAGUAAAAACCAGAAAGGUUGUAUCAGUACUGGAAGGACAGUUUCUACUUAAUGUGAUCGUUUUUGUGCCACUGUAAAAUCAAAAAAUUGUGUGAUCAUCUGCACUUGCAACUACUGGUAGGCUUAGACACUUGGAUUUUAGAUCCAGAAACAUCCAAACACUUCCUGCUGGGUGGGAGAAGGCUUUAAGGGUCAGAGCUCUUAGCUGCUAGCAAGAGAAGCCCAUUCAGGCUGAGUUUAAAAACUGAGGCCAGGCACUGUGGCUUAUGCCUGUAAUCCCAGCACUUAGGGAGGUCGAGGUGGGUGGAUCAUCUGAGGUCAGCAGUUUGAGACCAGCCUGACCAACAUGAGGAAACCCUAUCUUACUAAAAAUACAAAAAUUAGCCAUGCAUGGUUGCACAUGUCUGUAGUCAGAGCUACUUGGGAGGCGGAGGCAAAAAAAUUGCUCAAACAUGGAAGGCAGGGGUUGCAAUGAGCUGAGAUUAUGCCACUUCACUCCAGCCUGGUGGCAGAGCAAAACUCCAUCUCAAGAAAAAAACAAAAGAAAGAAAAGAAAAUGAAUUCAUGGGCAGGUGAGAAGUAUCGAGGAGACACGAAAUUAAGAUGACAGGCAGCCAGCUGGACAGCCACAGCCUCAUCAAACCCAAACAUGCAGAGGCUGGCCUAGGGGGGUGACACAGAAAUUGCCAGGCAUGAUGGCUCAUGCCUGUAAUUUCAGCAUUUUAGGAGGCCUAGGUGAGCGGAUCACUUGAGACCAGGAAUUCAAGACCAGCCUGACCAAUAUGGUGAAACCCCAACUCCGUUCAAAACACAAAAUUAGCCAGGCACGGUUGCAGGUGCCUGUAACUCCAGUUACUUGGGAGGCUGAGGCAGGAGAACUGCUUGAGCCUGGGAGACGGAGGUUGCAGUGAGCUGAGAUCACACCAUUGGACUGAAGUCUGAUCAACAGAGUGACUCUGUCUCAAAAAAAAAAAAAAAAGGACACAUCGAGACGAUUUCUACGCAGAAUUGUGAGUGAGUGUCCCUCCUUUUGGGGGUAAUGUCAGGAAAUUUCCAGAAUCUGGGAGUGGGCACCAAGCAUGUGGCUGAGAAUCCUGGACAGUAGCAACAUCCAGAUGUACUUAGCAGAGGAAUCAGGGAUGUGCCUGACUGGGGUAUCAACAAAGACGUCAAUUCCAGCUGGCUGUUCAUGUUGAUGCUAUAUAUCCGGUAUAUAAAUUCUCCUGUCAGAAACUCUAGUUAGAAAGGCAAAGAAGAAAGAAAAUCGUGCUCCCGUUCACCGAAGGAAAGGGCAAGAAGGCAGGAAAGUGGAAGGGAACUUCCUGGUGCUGCAGCCUGAAUCUCCACUCGUGUUGCUGUCUUCCCCACUAGACUCUGUACUUCCAGAAAGGGCUGGAGAUGGGCACAAUGCCAGCCCCUCCCUUCUCUCCAGAAGUAUUCCCCAAUGCUGACAUUCACAGUAAUUGCUGAUUUCUGUUCCUCUCUCUCUUUUUUUUUUUUGAGGAAGGUUCUUGCUCAGUUACCCAGGCUGGAGUGCAGUGGUAUAAACAUGGCUCACUGCAGCCUUGACCUCUUGGGCUCAAGUGAUCAUCUCCCCUCAGCCUCCUGAGUAGCCAGGAAUAUAGGCGUGCAUCACCAUUCCCGGCUAAUAAAAAAAAACUUUUUUUUUCUGUAGAGACAGGGUCUUACUAUGUUGCCAGGCUGAUCCCAAACUCCUGGGCACAAGCGAUCCUCCCUUCUCGGCCUCCCAAAGUGUUUGGUGUUACAGGUGUGAGACACCACACCUGGCCUCUUUCUGUUUCUUUAGAGUAGAGCAGCCCUAGUAUGCAUCUCCAACCCAUAACUGUUUCCCAGCAUUGUUAUGUCUUUUAAGCCUCUUUCAAUUUCCAAGUUUGUUAGCUGGGUGAGUGCUCACACCUGUAAUCCUGAUGUGAUAGGAUCAUUUAAAUUCAGAGGUUUGAGACCGACCUGGACAACACGGGGAGACUCCUGUCUCUACAAAACCUAAUUUUUUUUUUAACUCCAGCCAGGUUGCAGUGCAGUGGUGUGAUCUCAGCUCAUGGCAACCUUCACCUCCUGGGUUCAAGCCAUUCUUCUGCCUUAUCCUCUCGAGUAGCUGAGAUUACAGGCACAUGGGACCAUGCCCAGCUAAUUUUAAUACUUUUAAUAGAGCCAGGGUUUCACCAUGUUAGCUUGGCUGUCCUCAAACUCCUAACCUCAGGUGAUCUGCCCACUUCAGUCUCUCAAAGUGCAAUGAUUGUGAUCACAGGUGUGAACAGUGCCCAGCAAAAACUAAAAUUUAAAAAAAUAUGCAAUCUACAAGUUUUUUCUCUAUCCCUUUUCCCUUUUUUCUUUUCUUUUUUUUUUUUUUGAAAGAGAGUCUUGCUCUGUCACCCAGGCCAGAGUGCAAUGGCACAAUCUCAGCCCACUGCAACCUCCGACUCCCGGGUUCAAGUGAUUCUCUUGCUUCAGCCUCCUGAAUAGCUGGAAUCACAGGCAUGUGCUACCACACCUGGCUAAUUUUUGUAUUUUUGGUAGAGAUGGGGUUUCUCCAUGUCGGUCAGGCUGGUCUCAAACUCCUGACCUUGUGAUUUGCCCACCUUGGCCUCCCAAUGUGCUGGAAUUACAGGCCUGAGCCAGCUUGCCUGGCCUAUCCCUUUGCCUUUCUAUGAAUUUUGGAAGACUCCACAUUGUUGGGUCUUUCUCAAAGUCUAAAUUUCCUUGGUGAAGGUGAACCCAUUCUCUGUCUUUUGUAUUUGUGGCACAUUUGCAGCUGGAUUCAUGGUCACCCCAUUAGAUUAGAGUUUGAUUAUGUUGGCAAGAUUCAGUGGGUGAUAUGAUUGAUCUCUUAUUGGUGAUGAAUACUAUCCUAUUGUCUCUAUUAUUUUGUUCAUUUUUUAAAUUAUUUUAAAUUUUUAAAAUAGGGGUCUCAUUUAGUCACCCAGGCUGGAGUGCAGUGACUCCACCAUAGCUCACUGAAGCCUCAAAUUCCUGGGCUCAAGCGAUCCGCACACCUCAGUCUCAUGAGUAGCUGAGACCACACACCUCCACACCCAACUUUUUUUCUUUUUUGAGAUGAAGUCCCGCUCUGUCGCCCAGGCUGGAGUACAGUGGUGGGAUCUCAGCUCAUUGCAGGCUGCGCCUUUUAGGUUAAUGCAAUUCUGCCUCAGCAUUCUGAGUAGGUGGAAUUGUAGGCACCUGUCACCACACCCAGCUAAUUUUCAUAUUUUUAGUAGGGAUGGGCUUUCACCAUGUCGGUCAGGCUGGUCUGGAACUCCUGACCUCAAGCGAUCUGCCUGCCACAGCCUCUCCAAGUGCUGGGAUUACAGAUGUGUUCCACCGCACCGCACCUGGCCAAUGCCCAGCAUUUUCUUUUUUUAGACUGAGUGUUGUUUUGUUACCCAGACUGGAGUUUAGUGGCGCAAUCUCAGCUCACUGCAAUCUCCACCUCCUGGGUUCAAGCGAUUCUGCUGCCUCAGCCUCCUGAGUAGCUGGAAUUACAGACACCCACCACCACGGCCAGCUAAUUUUUUUAUUUAUAGUAAAGAUGGUGUUUCAUCAUACUGGCCAGGCUGUUCUUGAACUGACCUAGUAAUCCACCCACCUCAGCCUCCCAAAGUCCUGGGAUUCCAGGCGUGAGCCACCAUGCCUGGUACCUAAUUCUUAUUCACUGGUCAUGGAUGGGAGCUAUGGAACGUUUUUACAGAAUACAUGCUGGCCCCAUCAGAACAUCAGGGUUCAGUCUCCUAAGAGAUGUUCCUCUGUUUGUGCUACACACCCAAAUAAUCCAUCACAGUCCACUGUUAGAAUAUUUCCAGAAAUUACAGUGGCUACAGUCUAGAUGAAAAAACACUGAAGUAGGAGUCAGCAGACCCCGGGACUCUUUGACUCAGCCACUAACAACUUCAUGUGGACUUGGGGGAAAAAAAGCUGGAGCGACCACACCUGUAAUCCCAGCAUUUUGGGAGGUUGAUGUGGGAGGAUUGCUUGAGCCCAGGAGUUUGAGAGCAGCCUGGGCAACAUAGCAAGACCCCAUCUCUACAAAAAAACUUCAAAAAAUUUUCCAGGUGUGGCUGUGUCCCCCUGUAGUCCCAGCUACUCAGGGGGAUAAAGCGGGAGGAUCACUGGAGUCCCGGAGGUCAAGACUGUAGUGAGCCAAGAUCAUGCCAUUGCACUCAAGCUUGGGUUUCAAAGUGAAACAAAGCUGGAGCUUUUGUUUUCGCAUUUGUAAAAGGUAAAUGAUACUAUCUCCUUCAUGGAGUUACUGUGAGGAUAGAAAUACAAUUAUUUCUUUUCCCUCUUUUUUUAGAAAUACAAUGAGAUAGGCAUAGUGGCCAGGUGAGGUGGCUCAUGCCUGUGAUCCCAGCACUUUGGGAGGCCGAGGUGGGUGAAUCACCUGAGGUCAGAAGUUCAAGACCAGCCUGGCCAACAUGGUGAAACCCUGACUCCACUAAAACUACAAAAAUCAGCCCAGCGUGGUGGCACGUGCCUACAAUCUCAGCUACUCAGGAAGCUGAGGCAGGAGAAUUGCUUGAACCCAGGAGGUGGAGGUUGUAGUGUGCCGAGAUCAUCCCACUGCACUCCAGCCUGGAAGACAGAGCAAGACUCCAUCUCAAAAACAAAACCCGGUGUGGUGGCUCAUGCCUGUAAUCUCAGCACUUUGGGAGGCCAAGGUGAAUGGAUCACCUGAGGUCAGGAGUUCAAGAGCAGCCUGACCAACAUGCAGAAACCCUAUUUCUACUAAAAAUACAAAAUUAGGCAAACAUGGUGGUGCGUGCCUGUAAUCCCAGCUACUUGGGAGGCUGAGUCAGGGGAACUGCUUCAACCUGGGAAGCAGAAGUUGCAGUGAGCUGAGAUUGCACGCCAGCAUGGACAAGAAGAAGGAAACUCUGUCUCAAAAAUAAGAAUAAUAGAUAGGCAUAGUGCACAAGACAAUGUCAGGUGACACCUGCGCCACAACUUAAUACUACUUUGAGUCCGGACAGACAACGUAGGUCUCUGUGCCUCAGUUUUCCCACCUGUCAGAUAGGAAUCAUAUGAGGAUGCUCUCCUAAGAUGAUGCUCGAGGCUAAAUAAUGUUACCCACAAAUGAGCCUAGACAAGCACCUCCUGCAUUUUAAAUACUCUUCCCUUUUGGCUGUUGUCAUUACUGUUAUUAUUUUACUAACUAGAGUGCUUUCUAGCCUGCAAAAUAAGGAUCUGAAGUUUGUGAACAAGACCAUUACUCCUUACCAACUGAUUAAUAACCCCAAUUUUUCUUUUUCUUUUCUUUCUGGUUUUUUUUUUUUUUUUUGGUCUGGGAGAAAGAGGUGGAGAGGCAACUUUCCAUAUACAUUUAUAUAUAUAUGUACAUAUAUAUGUUUGUAUGUGCAUAUAUAUAUAUAAUUGCAUUUUAGGUUUUGGGGUACAUGUGAAGAACAUGCAAUAUUGUUGCAUAGGUACAUACGUGGCAAUGUGGUUUGCUGCCUUCCUCCCCAUCACCUAUAUCUGGCAUUUCUCCCUAUGUUAUCCCUCCCCAACUCCCCACCCCAUGCUGUCCCUCCACUAGUUUCCCACCACAUACCCCAGGGUAUCAUGUUUCCCUCCCUGUGCCCAUGUGUUCUCAUUGUUCAACACCCACCUAUAAGUAAGAACAUGAAGGGUUUGAUUUUCUGUUCUUGUGUCAGUUUGGUAAGAAUGAUGGUUUCCAGGUUCAUCCAUGUCCCUACAAACAUCUUUUUUAUGCCUGCAUAGUAUUCCAUGUUGUAUAUGUGCCACAAUUUCCCUGUCCAGUCUACCAUAGAUGGGCAUUUGGGUUGUUUCCAAGACUUCAUUAUUGUAAAGAGUGCAAAAAUUAACAUUCGUGUGCAUGUGUCCUUAUAGUAGAACGACUUAUAAUCCUUUGGAUAUGUACCCAGUGAUGGAAUUGCUGGGUCAAAUUGAAUUUCUAUUUCUAGGUCCUUAAGGAAUCGCCAGUCUUCCACAAUGGUUGAACUAAUUUUCACUCCCACCAACAGUGUAAAAGUGUUUCUAUUUCUCCACAUUUUCUCCAGAAUCUGUUGUCUCCAGGUUUUUUAAUGAUUGCCAUUCUAAUUGACAUGAGAUGGUGUCUCAAUGUAGUUUUGAUUUGCAUUUCUCUAAUGACCAAUGAUGAUGAAGAUUUUUCAUAUGUUUGUUGGCCUCAUGUAUGUCUUCUUUUGUAAAGUGUCUGUUCAUAUCUUUCACUCACUUUUGAAUGGGCUUGUUUGUUUCUUUCUUGUAAAUCUGUUUUAGUUCUUUGCAGAUUCUGGUUAUUAGCCCUUUAUCAGAUGGGUAGAUUACAAAAAUUUUUUCCCAUUCUGUUGGUUGCCAGUUCACCCUAAUGAUGGUUUCUUUUGCUGUGGAGUUUGAUUAGGUCCCAUUUGUCUAUUUUGUCCUUUGUUGCCAAUGCUUUUGGUGUUUUAGUCAUGAAGUCCUUGCCUAUGCCUAUAUCCUAAAUGGUUUUGUGUAGGGUUUCUUCUAGGAUUUUUAUGGUGUUAGGUCUUAUGUUUAAGUCUUUAAUCCAUCUGGUGUUAAUUUCAGUGUAAGGUGUCAGGAAGAGGUCUAGUUUCUGCUUUCUGCACGGGACUAGCCAGUCUUCUCAACACCAUUCAUUAAACAGGGAAUCCAUUUCCCAUUGCUUAUUUUUGUGAGGUUUGUCAAAGAUCAGAUGGUUGUAGAUGUGUGGCCUUGCCUCUGAGGCCUCUGUUCUGUUCCAUUGGUCUAUAUCUCUGUUAUGGUACCAGUACCAUGCUCUUUUGAUUACUGUAGGCUUGUAGUAUAGUUUGAAGUCAGGUAGUGUGAUGCCUCCAGCUUUGUUCUUUUUGCCUAGAUUUGACUUGGCUAUGUGGGCUUUCUUUUGGUUCCAUAUGAAGUUUAAGGUGGUUUUUUUCCUGUUCUGUGAAGAAGGCCCUUGGUGGCUUGAUAGGGAUAGUGUUGAAUCUAUAGAUUACUUUGGGCAGUAUGGCCAUUUUCAUGAUACUGAAUCUUCCUAAUGAAUACCAUGGAAUGUUUCUCCAUCUGUUUGUGUCCUCUCUUAUUUUGUUGAGCAGUGGUUUGUAGGUCUCCUUGAAGAGGUCUUUAAAUUCCUUGUUACUUUUAUUCCUAGGCAUUUUAUUCUCUUGGUAGCAAUUGUGAAUGGCAGUUCAUUCUUGAUUUGGCUCUCUUUAAGUCUGUUAUUGGCGUAUAGGAAUGCUUGUGAUUUUUGUGCAUUAAUUUUUUAUCCUGAGACUUUGCUGAAGUUGCUUAUCAGUUUCAGGAGAUUGUGGGCUGAGACGAUGGGGUCUUCUAGAUAUACAAUCAUGUCGUCUGCAAAGAGAGAAAAUUUGACUUCCUCCUUUCCUAUUUGAAUACGGUUUAUUUUUUUUUCUUGCCUAAUUGCUCUGGGUAGAACUUCCAGUACUAUAUUGAAUAGGAGUGAUGAGAGAGGACAUCCUUGUCUAGUGCCAGAUUUCAAAGGGAAUGCUUCCAGUUUUUGCCUAUUCAUUGUGAUACUGGCUGUGGGUUUGUCAUAAAUAGCUUUUAUUAUUUUGAGAUAAGUUCUGUCAAUACCUAGUUUAUUGAGAGUUUUGCCUUCUCUGCAUCUAUGGAGAUAAUCCUGUGGUUUUUGUGUUUGGUUCUGUUUAUGUGGAGAAUUAUGUUUAUAGACUUGUGUAUGGUGAACCAGCCUUACAUUCCAGGAUGAAUUUUCUUUCUUUUCUUUUCUUUUUUUUUGAGACAGAGUCUCACUCCCCCUCCAAGGCUCAAGUUAUUCUCCUGCUCAGUCUCACGAGUAACUGAGAUUACAGGCACCCACCACUAGGCCUGACUAAUUUUUGUAUUUUUUUUUCAUAGAGACGGGUUUCACCAUGUUAGCCAGGCUGGUUUCAAACUCCUGAUCUCAGGUGAUCCACCCACGUCAGUCCCCCAAAGUGCUGGGAUUAUGGGCGUGUGCCACCACCCCAUCGCAUAACCCCAGUUUUUUUUUUACCAACUUUGAUUACAGAAAUUGGCAUGACUCCCAGAUUCCCAUAAUGCAAAUUGUCCUCCCAAUUAUAACUGCUAGUUUGUUUUCAUUUAAGAAAAACAAGACAAACAGAAAUUGAAAUGCUGGUCAUUUCUGUUGACAAAAAGAUAAGAAUGGCCGGAUGCAGUGGCUGAUGCCUGCAAUUCCAGCAAUUUGAGAGGCUGAGGUGGGAAGAUCACUUGAAGCCAGGAGUUCGAGACCAGCCUGACCAACACGGUGAAUUCUCCUCUCUACUAAAAAUACAAAAAUGAGCAAGGCAGGGUGGCAUGUGCCUGUAGUUCCAUCUACUCAGGAGGCUGAGGCAGGAGAAUCGCCCAACCCAGGAGGCGGAGGUUGCAAUGAACAAAGAUCAUGCCACUGCACUCCAGCCUGGGAAACAAGAUCAGAGCACCAUCUCAAAAAACAAAAAAAUGUAAUGUGACUGCUAUUUUCUUGUUAUAAUCACAGAGUUCAUGUGGAAAAGCUAAGCAAUAUGAAAAAAUACAGAGUUAAAGAUAUAAAAAAAUUACCCCACAUUGGAUCAGCAAACUUUUUUUUUUCUCUUGAGAUAGACUAGGUCUUGCUAUUGCCCAGCCGGUGGGCAGUGGCACAAUCACAGAUGCCUGCAUCCUCGACCUCCUGGGCUCACUCUGUGCUCCUGCCUCCCAAGGAGCUGGGACUACAGGUACACACCCCUACACCAAGCUAUUUUUUUUAAUUUUUUUGUAGAGGUGAAGUUUCACUGUGUUGCCCGGGCUGGUCUUGAAUUCUUGGCCUCAAGUGAUCCUCCCGCCUCAGCCUUCCAAAGUGCUGGGAUUACAGGCAUGACCUUAUCUGGAGACUGGGUCUUUACAGAGGUUAUCAAGUUAAAAUGGGUCAUGAUGGUGGGGCCCUGAUCCCAUAUAACUGGUGUCCUUACUAAAAGGGAAAUUUGUUGCCAGUAAAAGAAAAAGAAAGAGUAAAAUAUUUUUUUUUGAGACAGUCUUGUUCUGUUACCCAGGCUUGAGUGUAGUGAUGUGAUCAUAGCUCAAUGCAGCAUCAAUCUCCUGGGUUCAAAUGAUCCUUCCACCUCAGCUUCCUGAGUAGCUGGGACUACAGGUGUGUUCCACCAUGCCCAGCUAAUUUUCUGUAUUUUAUGUAGAGAUGGUAUCUCACUAUGUUUCCCAGGCUAAACUUGAACUUCUAGGCUCAAGCAAUCCUGUCUCGGCCUCCCAAAGUGCUGGGAUUAUAGGUGUGAGCCACUGUGCCUGCCCAAAAAUAAAUUUUCACACAGAGACAGACAUGCAUAGAAGGACAAUGGCCACUAUAAGUCAAGGGAUGCCUGCUGUCCCAGAGCCUCCAGAGAGAGCCUGGCCUGCAGACACCCAACUACACUUCCGGCCUCCCAAUUGGGAGACAAUAAAUUUUUAUUUUAUUUAUUGAUUUAUUGAAACAGGGUCUCGCUCUGUCACCCAGGCUGGAGUGCAGUGGCAUGACCUCAGCUCACUGCAGCCUCAUUCUCCCUGGUUCAAGAAAUCCUCCCACCUCAGCCUCCAGAGUAGCUUGAGAUCACAGGAACAUGCAACCAUGCCUGGCUAAUUUUUUUUUCUGAGAUAGAUUCUUGCUCUGUCCCUCAGUCUGGAAUAAAUUGGUGUGAUCUCAGCUUACUGCAACCUCCACCUUCUGGGAUCAAGCAUUUCUCCUGCCUCAGCCUCCUGAGUACCUAGGAUUACAGAGGCGCACCACCACACCCAGCUAAUUUUUGUAUUUUUGUAGAGAGGGUUUCACCAUGUUGACCACGCUGGUCUCGAACUCCUGACAUCAUGAUUUGCCUACCUCAGCCUCCCAAAGUCAUAGGAUUACAGGUGUUAGCCACCACUCCCGGCCUUGUAUUCUUUCAGUAGAGAUGGGGUUUCAUCCUAUUGGCCUGGCCAGUCUCGAAUCUCCUUACCUCAAGAUAUCCUCUCAUCCUCCCCAAAGUAAAGGGAUUACAGACAUGAGCCAUCAUGCCCUUGGUCAUUCAUGAAUGUGUAAUUAGGUUUUGUCCAGGAUCAGAGGCUCAUGCCUGUAAUUCCAGCACUUUGGAAGGCUGAGAAGGGAGGGUCCCUUGAUGCCCAAAGUUUGAGGACAGCCUGGCCAACACGGUGAGGUCCCAUCUCCACACACACACAAAUAUUAGUUGAGCAUGGUGGCAUGCACCUGUAAUCCCAACUACUCAGGAGGCUUAGGUGAUAGGAUUGCUUAAGCAUGGGAAUAAGAGGCUGCAGUGAGCUAUGAUUGUACCACUGCACUGUAGCCUGGACAACACAGGAAGUCCCUCUCUGUCUCUAAAAAAAAAAGGCGUUGUUUGAUUUUGUGUUUCUGUUGUUACUGUUGUUUUUUGAGAUGGAGUCUCACGCUCUGCCCAGGCUGGAAUGCAAUGGUUCAAUCUCGGCUCACUACAACCUCCACCUCCUGUAUUGAAGUGAUUCUCCAACCUGAGCCUCCCGAGUAGCUGCGAUUACAGGUUUGCACCACUACCCUAGGCUCAUUUUUAUAUUUUUAGUUGAGAUGGGGUUUCACCACUGUUGGCCAGGCUGGUCUGAAACUCCUGACCUCAGGACAUCCACCCGCCUUGGCCUCCCCAAGUGCUAGAAUUACAGAUGUGGGUCACUGAGCCCAGUCGAUUUCAUGUUUUGGCUGGGUCGGGUCUGGUAGGUGUAUGGUUAAUGAACCAGGUCUUAAUUUUUCUAGGCUACCGGGGGCUUGGGCACGCACUGACAGCAAUGUCGUGGGUGGUGACAUUGGCUUCAAACGUGGAUGAAAACAAGAUCUGGUCUCCUUUUUUUACCCAGACGGUGUUGACCAGCUGACCUAGGAGAUAAAAGAACUGGUAUAUGAGGCCAUGUGUACAUCCUGGGAAAGGGGAUGCCAACUGCUGGGACCCCAGCCCCCCUGCCACCAACCAGCCCACCCGGCCAGUGGCUCUUCCAUGUUUGUUACAGCUUUUGAGAGGUUCACUAUUCAAAGGAGGAUGAAUAGUGGGUUUUCAAGAAAACCCAUAGCCAGACAUGGUGGUUCACGCCUGUAAUCCCAGCACUUUAGGAAACCUAGGUGAAAGGAUCACUGGAGGUCAGGAGUUCGAGGCCAUCACGACCAACAUAGUGAAAUCCCAUCUCUACCAAAAAUACAUAAAUUAGCCAGGUGUGGUGGCAUAUGCCUGUAGUCCAGCUACUCGAGAGACUGAGGGCUGAGAAUCCCGGGAGGUGGAGGUUGCAGUGAGUAGAGACCACACCAUCGUACUCCAUCCUGGGUGACAGAGUGAGACUCCAUCUAAAAAAUAAAAGAAAAAAUAAAGUGAGAAAACCAGGCAUGGGGGUGCAUGUCUGUAAUCCCAGCACUUUGGGAGGCUGAGCUGGACAGAUCACUUGAGGUCAGGAGUUCAAGAUCAGCCUGGCUAACACGGCAAAAUCUUGUCUCUGCUAAAAAUACAAAAAUGAACCAGGCAUGGUUGCGUGUGCCUGUGAUCCAAGCUACUAAGGAGGCUGAGGCAGGAGAAUUGCUUGAACCCGGAGGUGUAAAUUGCAGUUAGACGAGAUUUCACCACUGCACUCCAGCCUGAGGGACAGAGCAAGACUCCUCUUUAAAAAAAAAAUCAGAGAAGACCGAGAUAUCCGCAGAUAAUGCACCGUGUCACUUUCCCUGUGCACUUUUCCUGCCUCUUGGUAGACAGUUCCUAACAUCACCAUGAGAUCCUGGUGAAGGAAGGGUGGAUACUGAGGUUGCUACAGUUUUAUGAACCAUUUUUCCCCAGAGAGAGGUGGUCAUCUUCUGUCAGAUUCCUUUGAGUGUUUUGCCAACCCCUGCUGUGGGAGGUUUACCCUCAGGGCACUCCUCCAUGAAGCCACCAGGUGACGCCAUUGCCGUAUAAAUGAAACAAACUGACCCGACAUUAGAAAAUGGUGUUCUACUUUCUUUGAGCUGAGUGGGGUGGGUCAAACCUGUAAUCCCAGCACUUAGGGAGGCUGAGGUGAAUAGAUCACUUGAGUCCAGGAGUUCGAGUCCAGCCUGAAAACAUGGUGAAACCCUGUCUGUUUUAAAAAUACAAAAAUUAGCCAGGCAUAGUGAUGCACACCUGUCAUCCUAGCUACUCAGGAGGCUGAGACAGCAGAAUCGGUUGGGAAGCAGAGGUUGCAGGGAGCCAAGUUCGUGACUCUGCACUCCAGCCUGGGUAACAGAGUGAGACUCCAUCUCCAAAAAAAAAAGUGUUCCUAAGGACUGAGAGGGGAAAUUGAGGCAUGCAGACUGGAGUUGGGGUGGGGCUUGGUGAGAGAAUGGGUUCAAGUAACCUGUGAAGGACUCUCAGAAAGUCAGAGCAACAUAAAAAUCAUUUAUUCUACCUCCCACUUCCACAUUUUCCAGAUAUAGAAACAAAGCUGAGAGGCAGGGGGAUAUGUAUCCCAAAAGCACCACGUUGGUAGGGAGCAGGGUUGCCAGAGAAAACACAGGACAUCCAGUUAAGUGAGAGUUUCAAACUCUCAGUGUAUGUCUCAAAUAAUGCACAAGACUUAAACUAAAACCUUAUUUACUUUUUGUCUUCAAAGGUAACUGGGCAUCUGUAUGAUGAUUUGCUAAGUCUUACAACCCUCAUGAGGGUAAAAUGAAGAUUAGAAAGAUACUUAAAUGUAAUAAGCAAACAUGCAAAAUGAGGGCAACUCUUUCCCAUUUUGCAGACAAGGGAACUGCACGUUAGGGAGGGGACUUGCCCCAAAGCCACCCUCACAAUCCUCAGAGUCAGGAUUUGAACCCAGUCCUUAUUCCAGAGGUCUCAACUUCACUGUUGUGGCCAGGAACAGCUCCCAGUCCCACUCGUGUGUGUGCAUGUUCUUUCUUGAAUAUGACUCUCUCCCCAUCGUGUAAGUGGGUGGUUCCCCUCCCUGACAUUGACGGACUCCGUCUUCAGCAGGCGCCUCCUGACCCAGCAGACCCCCAUGAGCCCAGAUCCCUGGGACCCGGUGGCUGUCCUUAUCACAUUCCUUGACUCCGCAUCUUAGGAUCCAAGUCUGACCCUCUUCAGGAUCUGCAGCUGUGUUACAGAAAAGGGGACCCGAUCCAGACCACAAGGGAGGGUCCUCGGAUCUCGUGUAAGAAGCAAUUCAGCAUGAGUCUGUAAAGUGAAAGCACAAUUGUUUGUUUGUUUGCUUUUUUUUGUUGUUUUGGUUUGGUUUUGAGAUGGAGUCUUUGUUGCCCAGGCUAGAUAGAGAGUAGCGGUGUGAUCUUGGCUCAGUACGACCUACGCCUCCCGGGUUCGAGAGAUUUUCCUGCUUCAGCCUCCUGAGUAACUGGGAUCACAGGUGCAUGUCACCACACCUGGCUAAUUUUUAUAUUUCUAGUAGAGAUAGCAUUUCACCAUGUUGGCCAGGCUGAUCUAGAACUCUUGACCCCAGGUGAUCCACCUGCCUCAGCCUCCCAAAGUGCUGAGAUUACAAAUGUGAGCCACAGUGUAAGUUUAUUCUUUCCUUAAAAAGCAAGUUUUUUAAGAAGAUGAAGAUGAAAUAGCUACUCCAUAGAGCAGCCCAGAGGGCGCUGGUGCCCAUCUUUAGGGUCAUUUCUUCCUGACAUGCUAAAUGAGGGCUAGACUAUUCAUGACUCCCCUUUUAUAGAUCUUAUAGGGAAACUUUCUGAUGUUGCCAUGGCAUUUUUAAACUGUCAUGGCGCUGGUGGCAAAUGUAGGAGUGAGGAUGAGCAGAGGUCACUCUGGUCAUCAUCUUGGUUUCGGUGGGUCUUGGACUGGCUUCUUUACUGCAGCCUGUUUUACUGACAAGGUCUCUGUGACCUGUAUCCUGUGCUGCCCUCCUGUCUCAUCCUGUGACUCAGAAUGCCUUCACUGCCUGGAAAUGAAACCCAGUAGGUCUCAGCCUCCUUUUACGCAUCUCCUAUUCAAGAUGGAGCCGCUGUGGUUCACACCCCUCUGGCAGCUGGGCUCCCCGGGAUCUCCUGAGGUUCUGUCCCCUCCGUGCCUAGCUCCUGGGUCCCUCCACCAUCGCUGUCUUCCUGAGCCACCUGCCUCUGAGUUUCUUUAUCAGCAAGAAGAGGAAUCACUUUCAGGUUCGGCUUUUGGGGGAAAAGACGGACCAGGCAGGAAGUAGGGAGGAAGACACAGGCCCUGGUGUGGGCGAUGGGGAGGGCAGAGCUGAGUGGGAUCCGGCGGGUCUGGCUUUGUUCUUGUCUCUGCGAGUUGCCCAUCGUGCAGACCUGCCCCUCUCCUUCCCCAUCGCAUCGGACGGCGGCUCUUCCCUCCAGUGUUCAGACCCCAGGCCCUGGGUCAGAUCAAUGCCUUUUUCUCCUGCACCCCAUCAGUCAGCAGAUUUGCUUGGCGUCAUCUGAAAAAUGCAUCCAGCAGCAAGGCCCUGGCUCACUCCUUACUUCCGCCCCAGCCUCUCUCCACUUCCAGCCACAGGAGACCUGUGUGAGCUGAAUUCAUCACACCCUCCUCUGCUCAGACCUACAGCAGCCCCAUUUUCCUCAGUCUGAGCCAAAGGCCCCACAGUGGCCCACCUGGCCCUCCCUGAGCUGCCUCAUUGACUCCAGCCUCACCUUCCACCCGUCUCCCUCCCUUUCCCACCUACCCCAUCCUCACACCUGCCUGAUGUUCACACAUCUCUCCAGGCAUCUGCUUUAGCUGCUCUCCGCCUGGACCACCCUCACUCUAGAAGACCCUUGUCCCCUCCAGCACCCCCUGCAGUCAGGUCCACCUUCCUCACCAUCGUUCAGCAAGGACACACCCCGCCCAUCCCUCUCCUUUCAGCAUCUCUCUUCCUUGGCCUGUUUUGGGUUCAUUUUUGCUGUUCCCCAGCACUUCCCACUUCCUAAAGGGCCCUUCAAGAAGCACCCGGAAGGGGCCAAUGGCCUUGCUCUCCUUAGACUAGAAGCUCCACGGCAGCACAGCACACUCUUUGUGGCAGAUUCAGUAUCUAGUUAGUGCUCGGCAUGCAGAAGGUGCUGGACAAGUGUUUGAGAACUACGGAAGAAGGGAGGGAGGGGAGAAGGGUAGGAAAGAGGAAGGGAAGAAGGGAGGGAUGGGGAGAAAGGAGGGAGGGGAGGAGUGAAAAGGAGGGAGGGAAGGAAAGAUAGGAAAGGGGAGGACAGAUGGAGGGAAGGAAAGAGUUGAAAGAGGAAGAGAAGGAAUGAUGGAGGCAAGGAAGAAAGGGAGGAGGGAGGUGGAAAAAGAGGGUAGAAAGCAAGGCAGGAGAGCAGAAGAAAGGAGUAGGGAAGAAAAGAAAGGUGGAAGGGGGAUAAAGGGAAGGAACUUAUUUUCUCUCUAGGCCCAGCUGUCCCAAUUAUCUGUCAUUUGGCCAGCCUCCUGCAUGGCCUCCUCCGAGCACAGUGACUCAUGCCUCUAAUCCCAGCACUUUGGGAGUUCGAAACAGGUGGAUCACCUGAGUUCAGGAGUUCUAAACCAGACUGGUCAACAUGGCAAAAUGCCAUCCCUCUUAAAAAAUACAAAGAUUAGCUGAGCAUCGUGGCAGGCACCUAUAAUCUUAGCUACUCCAGAAUGUCAGGCAGGAGAAUCACUCGAACCCAGGAGGCAGAGAUUACAGUGAGCCAAGAUCGCGCCACUGCACUCCAGGCUGGUAACAAAGCAAGACUCCAUCUCAAGAAAUAACAAAAUACCUUCUCCAGGCAGCUGCCUUCUGAUGAUGCCCCUCCCCGGUUAAGCACAGACCCCGAACUCCUGCCUGACCCUAAAGUGCCAAGUGACGCCGCGCAUGUACUCCUCUGGCCACACUGAGUGUCCUCUCAGUCAUGCUGCUCCCUCUGCCUAGGUGUUUGUUGUCCCCUGUCUCAGAGCCUUCAAUCCCUCUUCCCGGCUCCAUCCCCUCAUCCUCUGCCUGCCCAGCACCCACCUCCUGGCCAUUUAACAUGUAGCUCAGGUUGUAAUCCCAGUACUUUAGGAGGCCAGGGGCAGAGGGUCACUUGAGCCCAAGAGCUUGAGGCCAGCCUGGGCAACAGAGUGAGACCCCACAACUCCACCAAAAAUGUAAAAGGAAGAAAGAUGUAGCUCAGGCAUUACCCACCUCCAGGUAGCCUUCCUGAUGGUGCCAUACCCAGGUGGGCUCAGGGGCAGCCUCUGUUCUCUGGGCACCAGAAGCCUCCUUUCUGUGGCAGUGGUCCUGGGUCAGCUCCUGCAGGAAUCCAGGCACAGGAUGAUGGUGGAUGGAUCAGGACUGAGGGUCAGAGAUGCGGAGAGGCAGACAGCUUUGGGAAGCAGUAGGAAGGAUCAGCAGGAUUUGCUGCACGGUGACUGUCAGGGUGCAGGGGAGAAUUCCGGACCAGCUGUGUCUUCAUCUCUCUCUUCCCUCCAAUCCCAGGAGAGCAAACGAGGCAGAAGGACUUGUGGGCCCGAUUCACCAGCUCUAUCCUCAGGAACUCGAGGACCAUCAAGUUCCAUGGCUGGGAGGGAGCCUUUCUGGACAGAGUCCUGGGCAUCCGAGGCCAGGAUCUGGGUACCUUGUGGACCUCUGGCCUCCUCUUCUUUAUGUCGCUGGUGUCUUUCCAAGCGUCUACAUUUCUGGUCAUGUCACUCUAGUCUCUAUGGUGAUCAGGACUGGGGAAGGAGUGUGGGGCUCAGGAGGUGAGGUAGGUGGAGCCUCCCUGAUCCUACCACCCUGUCCAUCAAAACCCACACAUUCUGGAUCCUGUUCUCACCGGGUUUCUGCUAUCUUCUGCGUGAAUGAAUUAAUUCCAUCAUUCUGGUGAAGGUGACAGCGGCUGUUGAGGUCUGCUCUUCUGAGAGUUCCAGGCUUCCACUGAUGUGGGGAGGAGAGUUCAGGUGCAGACAGGCUGCAGAGAUAGAAUCCAGGGUAUGAGUGGCUUUUUUGCUGCUGGCCAACAAAUGUCCAUAGCCACCCUGUCACUGACGUGAUUCUUGUUCUGCCGUUGUCAUUUAUUUCUGAUUGCUGUCAGAACACUCUUCCUAAAGCACAGCUUUCUGAAGAAUUUAAACAUGUUGAUGCAUAGGCAAGGCACAGUGACUCACGCCUGACAUCCGAGCUCUUUGGGAGGCUGAGGUGCCUUGAACCCAGUUGGUGGAGGUUGCAGUGGCCCCAGAUUGUGCCACUUCACUCCAGCCUGGGUGACGGAGCAAGACUUUGUGUCAAAAACCAAACAAACAAAACAAAAGGAUCACAAAUGGGACCAAUACCUAGGGCCCUCCCAUGCUGCUCUCUUCAGGAGUCCCCAGGCUCAGCCCUCAUGUCUAUCACCUUCACAGAGAGGCCUUUCCUGACCACCUUCAUCACCACCUGAGCACCCCUGCUUGUGCUAGUGCACUCUAACCUGCACCCGAUUUCUCUUUACUUUUUUAUUUUUGAAGACAGAGUCUUGCUCUGUUCCCCAGGCUGGAGUGCAGUGACGCAAUGUCGGCUCACUGCAACCUCCACCUCCCAAGUUCAAACAAUCCUCCCACCUCACCCUCCUGAGUAGCUAGGAUUACAGGCAGCUGCCACCACACCUAGGUAAUUUUCUUUUUUGUACCUUUAGUAGAGAUGGCAUUUCACCAUGUCGGCCAGGCUGGUCUUGAACUCCUAACCUCAAGGGAUCCAUCCUCCUCAGCCUCCCAAAGUGCUGGGAUUACAGAUGGGAGCCACCGCACCUGGCCAUACCUGCUUUAGUUUUUAUUCUUCAUAGCACUCUCCACCUGAUGUGCUGUCUGUGUUAAUGGUUUGUUUAUGGAUCGCCUGUCUCUUUCCCCCUCAUUAGAAUGAUGGAUCCAUUAAGAGAGCAGCAACUUUGUUUUGCUCAUUGCUGUUUCCCCAGAGCCCGGAGCCCUGUCAGGUAUAUGAUAACCAGGCAGUAGUUAUUCAUAGAAUGAAUGAAUGUAAGAAUGAAUAAAUGGCCGGGUGCUGUGGAUCACGCCUGUACUCCUAGCACUUUGGGAGGCCGAGGUGGGUGGAUUGCUUGAGGUCAGGGAUUCGAGACCUGCCUGGACAACAUGGUGAAACCCCAUCUCUACUAAAAAUAAAAAAAGUUAGCUAGGAAUACUGAUGCACGCCUGUAAUCCCAGCUACUCAGGAGGCUGAGACAGGAGAAUUGCCUGUACCCAGGAGGUGAAGGUUACAUUGAGUCGAGACCAUGUCACUGCACUGUAGCCUGGCAGAAAGAGAGAGACUGUCUCAGAAAUAAAUGAAAAUAAUUUUUAAAAAGAAUGAAUGAAAGACCAGAAGGCCUAGAUAGAAGGAAUAUGUUACAGUAAUCAAUAGUGCACAAGGGAAAUUACAGUGAAUGAGAAUUUAUUUGAAUAUUUCAAGAUAGCUAGAAGAGAAGAAUUUUUUUUGUUCCCAAAACAAAAGAUAAAUAUUUGAGGUGAUGACUGUCUCAGUUACCCCGAUUUGAUCAUUACAUAUUGUCUACAGCUUGGGUCCCCAACCCUCCUGGCCACGGAUCUGUACCAGUAGCCUGUUUUUGUUUUUCUUUUUUUUUCUCUCUCUCUCUUUUUGAGACAGAGUCUCAGUCUGUGCAGCGGUGCUAUCUCAGGUAAAUGUAACCUCCAUCUCCGAGGCUCAAGUAAUUCUUCCGCCUCAGCCUCCUGAGUAGCUGGGAUUACAGGCAUAUACCACCACACCUGGCUAAUUUUUGUAUUUUUAGUAGAGACAGGGUUUCACCAUGUUGGCCAAGCUGGUCCCAAACGCCUUACUUCAGGUGAUUUGCCCUCCUCAUUCUCCCAAAGUGCUGGGAUUGCAAGUGUGAGCCAUUGCACCCGGGAUUUUUUUUUUUUUUAAUUUGACAGGGAGUUUUGCUCUUGUUGCCCAGGCUGGAAUGCAAUGGCAUGAUCUUGACUCUCUGCAACCUCUGUCUCCCAGAUUCAAGCCAGUUUCCUGCCUCAGACUCCCAAGUAGCUGUGAUUACAGGUAUGAGCCACCAUGCCAGGCUAAUUUUUGUAUUUCUAGUAGAGACAGGGUGUCUCUAUGUUGGUCAGGUUGGUCUCGAACUCCCAACCUCAGGUGAUCCACCUGCCUCAGUCUCCCAAUGUGCUGGGAUUACAGGCGCGAGCCACCGUGCCCAUCUCACCUGUUGGGAACUGGGCAGGCAGCACAGCAGGUGAGCAGCGAACGGGCUAGGGAGGCUUUAUCUGUGUUCACAGCCGCUCCUUAUUUCUGGCAUCACCACCUGAGCUCCACCUUCUGUCAGAUCGGUGGCGUUGUUAGAGUCUCAUAGGAAUGCAAACCCUACCGUAAGCAGCACAUGCGAGGGAGCUGGACUGCGUGCUCCUUAUGAGAAUCCAAUGCCUGUUUAUCUGUCAAUGUCUCCCGUCACCUUCAGAAGGGAUGCUCUAGUUUCAGGAAAACAAGCUCAGGGCUCCCACUAAUUUUACGUUACGGUGAGUUGUGUAAAUAUUUCAUUAUAUAUUACACUGUAAUAAUAACAGAAGUGGGCCGGGCACAGUGGCACAUGCCUGUUAUCCUAUCCUUUUGGGAGGCUGAAGCAGUCGGAUCACCUGAUGUCGGGGGUUCAAGACCAGCCUGGCCAACAUGGUGAAACACCGUCUCUGCUAAAGGUACAAAAACUGGCAUGGUGGCAGGAACCUGUCAUCCCAGCUACUUGGGAGGCUGAGGCAGGAGCAUUGCUUGAACCCAGGAGCGGAGGUUGCAGUGAGCCACAAUCAUAGCAUUUUGGGAGGCUGAAGUGGGCGGAUCACCUGAAGUCAGCAGUUCGAGACCAGCCUGGCCCACAGGUGAAACCUCGCCUGUAAUAAAAAUACAUAAAUUAGCUAGGUGUGGUGGUAGGAGCCUAUAAGCUGACUUACUCGGGAGGCUGAGGCAAAAGAAUUGCUUGAACCCAGGAGGUGGAGGUUGCAGUGAGCCAAGAUCAUGUCCCUGGACUCCAGCCUGGGCAAUAUAGGAAGAUUCUGGUUUUGUUUUUGUUUUUGUUUUUAAAGGCAAGCCAGUUACAAUGGCUUAUACCUAUAAUCCCAGAAUUUUGGAGGCCAAGAUGGAAAGAUCACUUGAGGCUAGGAGUUCCAGGUAAACCUGGGCAACAUAGCAUGACCCCAUCUCUACAAAACAUUUUUUAAAAAUUGGGCACAGUGGCAUGUGCCCAUAGUCUCAGCUACUCAGGAGGCUGAGGCAAGAGGAUUGCUGCAGCCCAGGAACUGGAGGCUGCAGUGAGCCAUGCUUGUGCCACUGCACUCCAGCCUGGGUGACAGAGUGAGACCCUGCCUCUCAAAAAAAAGAAUUCAGAGUAGAGAAAGGUAUGAAUUGUAAGUUCAAGCAUUGCACGUCCCACAUUUCCUUCAGAAGUGUUGAUGCGUGCCCCAAGAACUCUGCAUUCAUUUCCCAGCGCUGCCUUAACAAAGUACCCUAAACUGUGUGGCUUCAACCACAGAGAUUUAUUCUCACAGUUCUGGAGACCAGGAGUCUGAAAUCAAGGGAUUUUUUAUUGUUUGUUUGUUUUUUCUCUGAAGGCUGUGAGGGAGGUCCGUCCCAGGUCUCGCUCAUGGAUUCUCAGAGCCUCCAGAGUUCCUUGGCUUGCAGGUGGUCUUCUGUCUCUGUCUUGAAACUGUCUUCCCUUUGUAGGUGUCUUUGUCCACACAUCCCCUUUUUAUAAGGACACCAGGCACACUGGAUUAGGAUUCACCCUCAUUACCUCAGCUUAGCUCGAUCACAUGGGAAGAGGCUAUUUCCAAAUAAGGUCGCAUCCACAGACCCUGCGGCAUAGGGCUUCAGCAUCUUUCGGGGAGACAGAGCACAACGCAUAACACUAUAGAUUUGCAAAUAUUUUUAGUUUGAGUUUCUGGGUUUUAUUUUUUAUUUUUUCGUGUCGGAUGAGUGAUGUGAUGAUACCGUAACAAGUUUUGAGAAUGGCACAUAUCAUAAAAUAGCCUGAUAACCCAAUUGUCAUGCUUAGGUUUUGGUUUUUUAAAAUUUUAGUUUUUCUUGAGGCAGGGUCUUGCUGCAAUACUCAUGCUGGAGGGCAGUGGUGCAAUCAUGGGUCACCGCAGCCUUAACCUCCUGGACUCCAGCGAUCUUCCCACCUCAGCCUCCCAAAGAGCUAGGAUUAUAGGAAUGAGCCACCAGCCCCAGCUGUUCCCUAUUUUUUGUUGGUACGUUGUUCAUUUUUCUCAAAAAACACACCUUUUUAUCUGUGCAUGCUGGCUCAUGCCUGUAAUCCUCAGUACUUUGGGAGGCCAAGGCAGGUGGAUCUCUUGAGAUCAGGAGUUCAAGACCAGCCCGGCCCACAUGGUGUAACGCCUUCUCUACUAAAAAUACAAAAAUGAGCUGGAUGUGGUGGUGUGUACCUGUAAUCCCAGUUACUCGGGAAGCUUAGGCAGGAGAACCGCUUGAACCCUAGAGGCAGAGGUUGCAGCGAGCCAGGUUCAUACUACCGCACUCCAGACUGGGUGGCAGAGCGAGACUAACUCAAAAAAAGUGAAAUAUACAUACAUAUAAACGUGCACAUGAACACACACACACACACCUUGGCAAUUUUUUUAUAUAUCAGCAUUCACUGGUACAAUGUAAAUUCUAUGGUAGAUUUUAUUUAGAUUAAUACAAUCUAAAUACUAUUCUAUUAAGUGCUACAACUAAAAAAAAUAGGCCAUGCAUUUAAAUGAUUCAAAGUUCAAAAACUAUGAAAGAGUAUAGAACCGAGUCUCCCAUAUGGCAGCUCAUGGCAUAUGUGUUUAUGAAAUCUACGUGAGGCUGGAUACGGUGGCUCAUGCCUGUAAUCCCAGCAUUUUAGGAGGCCGAGUCGGGUGGCUCACCUGAGGUCAGGAGUUUGAGAGCAGCCUGACCAACAUGGUGAAACCCCAUCUAUACUAAAAACACAAAAAGCAACCGGAUGCGGCGGUGAGCCCAUAUAACCCUAUCUACUUUGGAAGCUGAGGCAAAAGAAGUGCUUGAACCUGGGGGACAGAGGUUGCGGUUAGCCAAGAUCAUGCAACUUCACUUCAGCCUGGGCAACGGAGCGAGACUCCAUCUCAAAAAAGAAAAAAAAUCUAAAUAAAUUAACAUUUAAGAAAAUGAAAGAUUUGGUUCUUUGGCUGCGUGGGCCACAUUUCAAGUGCUCCACAGCUGCAGAUGGCCCGGAAAUAUGGUCUUUAUUGCAAAAAGUUCUAUCGGUUGGUGUUGGUGCAGCCUUAAAGCCGCUCUCCCACCCCUCCUCGAAGCCAACCACUGUUACGGUUCCUUUGGUGAUUCUUUUCCGAGAUGAUCUAUGCACACAAUCAGCACGUGGAGUUAAUAUAUGUACCUAAUAAAAUCAGCAUCUCCCGUGUAGUGCAAAUGACCAUGUAAUAGUCCAUGGAAUGGAAUGUAUUCAGCUAGUUUCAUAAUGAAGUGCUCUUGAGUUUUUCCCAGGUUUCCUGUUAAAAUUAUUCUGUCGAGAACACCAUUCUCUCACAGAGUACAUUUUUAACAGUGGAAUUCCCUGGCCAGAAUGUUUAUAUGUUUUUCUCAUUUCUUUUCUAUUUUCUUUCUUUUUUUUUCUUUUCUUUUCUUUCUUUCCCUCUCACUAUUCCCUCUUCCUACUUUUUUUCUUCCCUUUCCCCCUCUCAUCCUCCUCUUUUUUCUCUCCCCCACUUUUCUCUUUCUUUUACAAGGUCUUCUAUUUAAUGGCAUAAUCCUAAUUCACUGCAGCCUUGAACCCCUGGGCCCAAGCGAUCCUCUUUCCUCAGCCUCCCAAGUAGCAGAGACUAAAACCUGUGCCCCCAUGCCUUUCUAUAUUUUUAUUUUCUUUUUAGUGGAGAUGGGUCUUACUAUAUUGUUCAGGGUCGUUUUCAUCUAUGUAGGUGCUUUUCAAGAGAUCUUACCAAAAGGUACCUGGAUAGAACUUAGUCACUUGAAGCUCUUGUCCUUGUGUUGAAAUUUUGUGUCUGCCUCCUCCAUCCCGGGGAGAUUUAAAACUUCUAUCCCCUUUUCAGGCAGAUCAGUGACUUCAAAAAGUGUACGAAUGUUGUGAGGCAAGGCGGAAGGAUCACAUGAAGUCAGGAAUUUGGGCCCAGGCUGGCCAGGAAGGUGAAACCCUGCCUCUACCAAAAAUACAAAACUUACAUGAGCGUGGUGGUGCACGCCUGUAGGCCCAGCUUCUCAGGAGGCUGAGGCAUGCGAAUUGUUUGAAUCUGGAAAGCGGAUGUUGCAGUGAGUCGAGAUCGUGCCGCCGCACUCCAGCCAGGUACAAAUAGCAGCUUUAGACUUGAUCUCGCCAGGCAUGACCACUGGGCACGUUCAGCAUAGGAUCACCGAUUCUGCCUCAGUUUUCAGUGUCUUCUCUGGGGCCUGGAGUAUAGCAUCUGAAGCCGAGCUGGAUGUCUUGCUGCAUAAAUACUCUCUCCACUUCCACCUGUGCCAUCAGCCUGGGUGAAGACUCAUGUCAGGGGAGAGCCGUCGUCCUCCUACAGCCCCACCUGUCUGAUGGCUGAGACUUCUGCCUCAUUUCCAGAACUCCCAGGGGCCCUUGAACGUCUUGUUAUUUGCUACAUAUGCAAGCACAGAUUGCCCGUACCUCCCCUGAGACCUUCCUGCCACUCUCUAUAGAGCUGCCUGAAGCCUCGAAAUGUUUAUUUGCCUUUGGAGAAAUUCUACUUCCAUCUGCCCCAGACUCAUCAAAAUUACAGUAACAGCCAGCACUCCAACUUUCUGGAGCCUGUUCCAGCAGAGAGGAAGUCUGUUCUUCAAGUCCUCUUUGUAACCCCAUUUAAGAUGAGGAAACUGAGGCAGAUGAGCUCAUGAAUACAAAGUGCCAGAGCUUGGGUUCAACCUCGAAUCCCUGGGCCCAGGGGUUCGAGGCUCGUGUUCAACCUUAGAGUUUGUGGGAUUUAAGGUUGAUGUUGGAAGCGUUCUGUUUGGCACCCCCUACCCUGGUGUGUGGGGGUUGUGUCCUGGGUUGCCUGCAGAGCCCCAGUUUAUGCCUGCUGACCUGACGCAUUUGUGACUAGCGUUGUCUUUAACUGCAAAACGUCGUGGUUUGGGAGAGAAAUUCUGUGCUCACCCAGUUCACCCGCACCCUGAGGAAGCUCUGACACCACCGCACAGCUUCUGAUACAUACUGGAGAAAGCCAGCGCUAGGAGGUGCCUGUCAGCAGGAAGAGCUGCAAGCAUCUACAUCCACAUGUAGACAUAUCUGUACACAUACAUUCAUAUACACACAUCCAUAUAUAUACAUGUCUUUACAUCCACACACACGUCUGUACACCCACACAUUCAUACACAUGUCUACAUAUAGACACCUUCAUGUACACAUCACUGUACACACAAUCCAUAUCCACACAUUCAUACACACCUAUCUGUGUAUUUUGGUAUAGCUGUAUACAUACACAUCUACACACAUCCAUGUACAGAUAAAUCUGUACACAGAUGCAUACACAUUCGUCCACACACAUCUGCACAUACGUCGGUGGGGAUCAGGGAAAUACAGCAUUAAGUAGUGACGGUCUGAUAAUAGCUAGUAUUGUUUUGACAUCUUUUGGGUGAACUGACUAGCUAGUGGCUAUCAGAGGGGUGUGUGAGGUGUGUCUGCAGGUUGGCAGGGCCAUCAAACGCGGUAUUUGUAGUUGCUCGUGGCUUUCCUAGAGGAUCUCUCAUGUGGAGCCUUGGAGUGUAGUGAGCUGUUCCUGUGGCCCGCCUGCCAAUGUCUGCACCAGUGACCAACAAAAUUCUGGCUUCACGGGCCUCAAGGACUUUGGAUUGUACAGUAAAAAACGCUAUAUGCCAUCAUCGGACGUGUCUGGUCUGCAAGUGGAGAUCCGUUGCCAGUGGCGGGAUGGGAGCUGGAAGAGCCAGGAGGAUGUUGCAGUCAGACAGAUUCAAUAACCAGGGCUGGAGCUGGUGUGCAGCGUAGGUGGCAGAUGAGGUUGACUCUAGUCACAUUCCAUAGCGACGGUCGACUGAGUUCCUGAUGGAUCCAAUGAGGGGGUUGUCAAGGAGAGAAGAGGAGUCCUCUGUGUUUAUAACACAGGUUUCUAAUUUUGAGAAAUCCGGAGUUUAAAAAAUUGGGGAAGGCCUGGGCAUAGUGGUUCACACCUGUAAUCUCAGCACUUUGGGUGGCCAAGGUGGGCGGAUCACUUGGGCUCAGGAGUUUGAGAUCAGCCUCGCCAACAUGGUAAAACCCCGUCUCUACUAAAAAUACAAAAAUUAGCUGGGCACUGUGGUGUGCGUCUGUCAUCCCAGCUACUUGAAAGGCUGAUGCAGGAGAAUCAUUUGAACCCGGGAGGCGAAAAUUGCAAUGUACCUGGAUCCUGCCACUGCAUUCCAGCCUGGGUGACAGAGUGAGACUCCGUCUCAAGAAAAAUUAAAAAUUGCGGAAGAAUCGGCAUAGAAAGCCAUUAGCUUGGCUAUCUCCUGCCCUCUCUCUGGUCCCAGCUUGUGUAAUCAUGGCUGGGCUUGCUGUCCAAGCCUGUCAUUUCAGAUGACACCAAGGCCUUUUCAGGGCUAGAGAGACCUGCUGCCACCCAUGGUCGGCAAGGCUGAGUGGUUUUAGGCACAGCUGGAGAUGAAACUGGUGAUGGGGGCAGCCCUGUCAUCUUUACAGGGAACCUCACACAGCAGGUGGGCAGCAAGCUGGCCUCUCCACAUCACUGAGCCAUCUGCUGAGUGAGCAGGCCCAUGUGACAGGUAGGAGAUGCAACUCCCUGUGUCCUGUCUCCUCCAUGACCAGGCUAGGGUGUGGGCCAAAUGCCUCCUGAUGAUCUUCAUCACUUCAGUUUCUCAAUAUCAACAUCCCAUCUAAGGACAGACUCAGGCUCAGUGUGAGCCCCCAGAACUUCCCACAACCUCCAGCUGUCCCCACAAACCAUAAAAUAGCAGAUUUUGGGUUGUUCUUAUUCUCACCCACAAUAAGAAACAUAUGUAAAACAUUGGCCUAAAAUACACGGGGCAUUUAAAACACACACACAGGCUUAGCAGAUGCUGGCACUGUGCCAGAGCCAGGGCGGUGACACCAGGGUGUGCCGCUUAUGUUUUCUGAAAGAUUCUAAGGUAAGGACAGGAGCCGGGGCUGGGGGCACUCGGAGCGGUGGCUGUUGACCACCUCAUGUGGGUGUUUGGGAGUCAUAACAGCUGGCCCAUUUCCACCUGUCUGUUCUGGAUGACCUUCAGUGUUGCAGACGCAGAAGCUUCAGAAGGUGAAAUUUAUUUAACGACCCAUGAUGUGUAGUUAAUUCUUUUGUCAUCUGUCCUAUUUGAUUUUGUUUCAUUCUACUUCUUUUUUUUUUUUUUUUUAUUGGAGACAGAAUCUCACAGUGUUGCUCGGACUGGAUGCAAUGGUGCAAUCUUGGCUCACCGCAGCCUCUGCCUCCUUGGUUCAAGCGGUUCUCCUGCCUCAGCCUCCCAAGUAGCUGGGAUUACAGGUGCCUCCUGCCAUACUUGGUUAUUUAUUUAUUUAUUUGUAUUUUUGUAGAGGCGGUGUUUUACUAUGUCGGCCUGGCUAGUCUGAAACUCCUGACCUCAGGAAAUCUGCCUGCCUUGGCCUUCCAAAGUGCUGGAAUUACAGGAAUGACUCACUCUGGCCGGCCUCAUUCUACUUUAUCCUUGGUCCAAGCACAGUGCCCCACACCUAUAAUGCCAGAACUUUGGGAAGCCAAGGCAAGAGAAUUGCUUGAGCCCCGGAGUUCAAGACCAGCCUUGGAAACAUACUGAGACCCCUGUUUCUACAGAAAAAAAAGUGGUGUGUAUAUAUAUAUAUGCACAUGCACACACACACAAGUUAGCCAAGGUGGUGGCACAUGUCUGUAGUACCAGCUACUUGGGAGGGUGAGGUGAAAGGAUCGAUUGAGUCUUGGAGGUCAAGGCUGCAGCGAGCCACGAUCAGGCCUGUCUGUGGGCUGUUGUGCAGGGCCCAGGUGUUGACUCUUCAAGGAUCCCCCAAUCCCAAGGACCCUGGGGUAUUCCCGAGUCCUUUUUUUGCCUGGGGCUGGGGGUGUCGGUCCCUGGGGGCUGACCCUUUCAUUUGCCUGCUCUCUAUCCCUGCAGCACCGAUGGAAAGGAAGGAGGCUGGAUGAUGAGUGGCUGCCCUGGAUGCCAAGCUGUUCGUGUCAGGACUGUCAGGGCUGCAUGCCCUUGGCCUGCUGCAGCAGCGGGGCUGGCUGCGGACCGACUCCCUGAGGAUCCCGUAUGGCCUCCCGGGUGGCCCACCAGAUGCUGUCCUGGGCUGAGGCCACGUUCUCAUGGGCACUGAAGAGGCUCUGCAAAGCCCUGCUGGACCUGUAUGGCCUCACAGCCAGGCUGUGCAGAAGCCGGCUACAGGCUGGGUGUGGCCCACCGCUCAUCGUUUACCACCACUGAGCCAUACCUUAGGUGGCAAAUGCUUGAGAUGGAACAUUGGUGAGACGGUGAGCUGGGGAUCCUAUGGUGUGGCCAUGGCCAGCUUUGAGGAGAAAGUACAGUUCAAGCAAGAGCCACGGGGCCAGUGUGGAAAGAGAGCUCCAGGAACUACUCAGUGGUGGUGACGCCGCUGCUGCCUGGGGGCGAUGUGGUGUGGGGGACUGGCUACCUGAUGGAGGAGAAGCUGCCGUGGCCACUCCGACACCUGUCCAGGGCCAACAUGCCAUCCGAGUUCUACCGGCUCAGAUGCCGCCUGCUGCAGGGUCUCUGGAGGAAUGAGUCCUGCCCCGGGCUGUGCCACCCUACUCCCUGGGAGCCCCCCACCCCGUGGGCACAACAGCAGGGCCAUGCAGGGGCAGGGACUGUGGGGGCACAGGGAAGCCUGCAGAGGCCUGUGGCAUUACCGUGCUAGGCCCAGAGCCUAUUGGACUUCCCAAGGUCCUAUGGGACUAGGGCUGAGGCUGCACAUCCUGCUUUUCUCCAGAUUAUAUGACCUGGCCCAGCAGUGCAGCCAAGGGCGGUGCUGGGAUGACGAGCUCUGGGCUCCCGAGAAGCUUGCCUGUGGCUCAGGUGAGUCUGCUAACAUCCGUGGACUCAGCUUCCUUUACUGUGAAAUGCAGGUAACCACAUGGCUCACUCACGUGGGUAAGGAGCAUGUAUGGUUCUUAAUGCACGAGGGAGCCCCUCAUGUCCGUGGGGGAGCCACCGUACCCAGGCUUGGCAAGUAGCGGUUUAUCUGUGUGCGACUCACAUGGAAGUCUACGGCUCCCUAGAAGCGUGGGUGUAGUCAGGUCUAAGCAGCACGCUGAUCUUGUUAAAAAAAAAAAAAAAAAAAAAACAGCCUGGUCUUGAAGUCCUGUGCGUGUGACCAUGGGCUUCUCUGUGCCCCUCAGUUCUGACAGCUGACCACGGGGCUGGUAGCGCCUCCUUUGGGAUGCUGGCCCUGGCCAACAGGUGUCUGGCUGUGCACGAUGGAUGGUGCUUUCCCACCAUGGGCACGAACACCCCCAAGGCACAGCUCAGGGGCUACACUGGCUGGACUGGUCAGACCUGUUCCUUCACAGGCCAUCUCUUCCCUACCCUGAACAGGGCUGGUCUGCAGGACACCAGUGUCAUGUUUGAGGGAGCCGUUGGCCAUCCACUUAAACGGUCAAUGUUUUUUCCCCACCUGAGCAGCUUCCUUGAGAUUAAAUGGAUGACUUGUAUAAUUUUUUUUUUUUGAGACUAGGUCUCACUCUGUUGUCAUGGUUGGAGUGCAGCGGUGCGCUUUCGGCUCCCCGCACCCUUGACCUCCUGGGUUCAAGUGAUCCUCCUUCCUCAGCCUCGCAAAGUGCUGGGAUGGCUUAGCACCACCGUGCCCGGCCGAUGUGUGAAUUUUAAGUGCACGAUUCAGUGGCUUCCAGUUUAUUCAGAGUUGUGCAUGUCUUACCACAAUUGUUUUUAAAAGCUACCAGUCUGCCUGCUGUGUCCAUGGCUGUGCCUGCUCUGGACAUCCGAUGUAAACAGAAGGAUGACUAUGUGGCCUCUGAGCCAGGCUAUGUUACUUAGCACAGCAGUUUUGUAGCGGGUCUGGGGACUCCAUUCCUUGUUAGGGCUGAAUCGGGCCAUAGCCCUUCAGCUCACGUCAUCCUGAAGCUGGUGGGGGAUCACUGGGCCUCUGGCCGCCGCACCAGGGGAGGGGGACUCCUGGCCUCAGGGCAGGCUAAGCCAAGGCUCUAGGCAUCGGGGUACCCAGCAGGCAUCGUGCUCCCACUGCGGUGGGUGGAGCUGGCUCCACUCAGCGUGCCUUUGUGGCUGCUUCUCCCCAGACCACGCCCUGGUUGCCGGGGCCCAGCACGUGGUGACUUUUGACGGCCGGGUGUGGGACCUCAGCGUCCAGUGCAGCAGCAUCCUCCUGUCCCAAGACUUUGCUCACAGCACAUUCUCACGGAUGCUGAGUCGGACAGGCUUGGGGCUCAUGGCCCUGACCUUGGAGCUGAACCAUGUGACCCUCAUCUACUCCAGCCUUUAGGUGAGGAGGAGAGGCCCGAGCUUCCCCUGGAGACCUAUGCCUGUGGCAGGUUGCCUGGGGGAUGGCACUUUCAAGCUCGUCCCCUGGCUGUCGGUCAUCCCUCCUGCCCACUUCCUCCGGUCCACAGGCCUACAGGCUGUACAACUCCUCCAUGCCACGGGAUAGCCGUCCAGACCUCCGGCUGCCUUUUGCCAUGAAAAGGAGGGAGGUCCCCAGGAUUGAGCCGGCCAGUGAGGACGGGGUCUCCAUGUCCUGUGACGUGGCCACCGGCCUCUGCAGCCUGACUGUGCACCUGUGGCACCACGGUUAAUCUGGGCCCUGGCAGAGUUGGCCCCACCAUCAAAAUCCUGUUCGGGAUGCACCAUUCUCAGCUUCCAGUGCAACAGGUCCCCGAGCUGUAGGCAGCCACUGUGGUUGAGAGGCUGGCACCAAGGCCCAGUGCUUUCUUCCCGCAUCCCUUGGAUAUAUGGCUCCAAGGUGGAGUUGGCCUUUCUGUGGUCCCUCUGCCAAGGAACACAAAGGGCAGGCCUGGAUUCUGGCCACUCGUGCUGACGAUGUGGAGAGGGGAUGGGGGGACACAUGCUGUCCUCAGUCUCUGUGCUUUCUCUCCUUCUUCUGAUGAGGGUUUGGGGCCAGAGCUCUGGGAGUCUGGGGUGGAGGGAUUUUACCAAUCCUUCGUGUGCCUGAGGCUCAUCUCUCAUCCAGGACCCCUGGGGGAGGAUCAGGGGCUCUCAGGAUCACCUCAUCUUUCCUCCUCCCCACAGGCAUAUCCGCUGGCCUUCUGGACACCAGCGACAACGAAGCAGGCACCGAUCUGAUGUUGCCGGACGGCUCUGUGGCUCACAGCCUGGAGGAGCUCAGCCCGGCCUGGCAGGUGAGCAGGUGGAUGGUGACUGCAGGGCCACCGAGAAGCCUGAGCCGACCUGCCCAGGACAGAGCCCCGCCCGCCGGGCCUUCUUCCAGGACCCCUCAUCCAGCUUGGGGAACUGCUUCCGGGUGGUGAGUGUGAGCCUGUGCCCUGGAGCACAGCAAGCUCUUUCCCCAAUCUACCCUGGGGAUUGGCAUGGAGCAGAGGCCUAGGCUAGAGACAGUGACUGGGUGGCCCUGAUUUCAGAUGGAGCCUGCACCAUUCCUUAGCCUUUGUGUGCAGGACUCCUGUGGCACCUGGGAGCUCCAGCCUGCCUGCACUCUGGCAGCCACCUAUAUCCACCUCUGUGCCUGCAGCUUCGUGUCCCUGACCCUCCUCCACAGUGCGGUAAAGUGCCCCAUCCGGCGGGCACUCUGCCCCCUGGCUGGCAUCUGCCUUCCAGCCAGAGGGAAAACCUCUCUCUCUCUCUCUCUCUCUCUCUCUCUCUCUCAUCAGAAAGAGCAAAUAAUUGUCAUUUAAGGAGCUAAGAGUGAAAACAAAUCAUUUAAGGCCUGAUACAGCCUGGAUGUGUGUCUCCUCCAAAUCUCACUAUUGUUAGAGGGUGUACAUCCCUCAUGGAUGGCUUAGCAUCCUGCGUUUGGUGAAGUGUGAGUUCUUGCUCUAUUUGUUCAACUGAGAGCAGUUUGUUUAUAAAGAGCCUUGCCUCUCCUCUCUCUCUUUGCACACACUCCCAUUUCUGCCACGAUCGUAAGCUUCCCAAGGCCUCACCAGAAGGCAAGCAGAUGCCGGAGCUGUGCUUGUACAGCCUGUAGAACUGUGAGUCAAUUAUAUGUCUUAUUUAUGAUCUACCCAGGCUGGAGUGCAGUGGCACAAUCUCACCUCACUGCAACUUUCACCUCCCAGAUUCAAGCAAUACUCCUCCCUCAGCCUCCCAAAAAUACCGGCAGGUAUUUUUGUAGAGAUGAUGUUUUUCUAAGUUGUCCAGGCCGGUCAUGAAUUUCUGACCUCUGGUGAUCCACCUCCCUCGGCCUCCCAAAGUGCUGGAUGACAGGCGUGAGCCACCACGCCCAGCCUCACGAGGGAUUUGAAUGUCCACUAUCGUUUAGGGAAAAUGCUCAGCCCCCGUUUUUCCUCUGCUCUCCUACUUCAAAAAUCAUCAUCCACACAGAAGAUGACUUCUAUGAGCAAACGUGUGGGGAUUCGUCUCCACUACCAGGGCGGACCUCUAAUUCAGUUCUGACACUAGCUACCUUGAGAUCCUUCAGCCAGCGCCGCAUACAAUCGCCACAGCCAGAGCCCCACUAAAAGGGCAUAAAUGUCAGUAUCAACAAGAGGAGUGGACUUCCAAGGGCUACAGAUGCCAGAAUUCGUGGCUGCCAUCCGUAGACAUUUAAAACUUAAUCGGAAAAUAUAACAAAGGGAGGAUGAAAUGAGAUGAUCCAACUCGUCUCAAAGAAAUGACAGGCCAGGUGUGGCGGCUCAUCCAUGUAAUCCCAGCACUUGGGAGGCUAAGAUGAGCGGACCACCUAAGGUCAGGAGUUUGAGACCAAUCUGGCCAACAUGGUGAAAACCCAUCUCUACUAAAAAUACAAAAAUCAGCCAGGAGUGGUUGUGUGUGCUUUUAAUCCCAGCUACUCAGAAGGCUGAGGCAGGAGAAACGCUUGAACCCAGAAGGUGGAGGUGGCAGUGAGCCAAGAUCUUGCCACCGCACUCCAGCCUGGUGACAGAGUGAGAGUCUGUUUAAAAAAAAAUUCCAGAAUAAAAACAGAGAGGACCCAGGAUCCUUUGAGUCAGGAGGCACAAUCCCCAAGACAAUAAAUCCAUCCGUACCUAGACCCAUUCAACACAGUUGCAGAAACGACAAAGGAAAGGUCCUAAAAGCUACCGAGGAGGGUGGAAAGAAGCAAGAACAUGUUGACAAUUGCUUUCCCACCGGCAGUAACAGAAGACAGUGGAGUAACAGAAAGUAAGCAUGAGAUUAGAGAUGAUCCCCAGGUCAACUAUUGCUGAAUGAAAUAACCUCUCAGCACUGAUCUGUCUAGGAUCUCUUUACCACAAACGGACACUUACUCAAUGGACACAUCCACAUGUUGAUUUAUGUACUGUGUGUGUCUGCUUUCCCGCUAUAGGGGCCGAGUAUCUGCAAGGGAGACCACAUGUUUGCUCUGUGAAAGACUCAAUUCGGAGGAUGAAAAGAUAAGCUACAGAUCGGGAAAUAUGUUUACAAACCACCUAUCAGACCAAGAAAUCAUCUCCAGAGACUCAUCUGUAUAAUACAUAAAUAACUCAAAGCUCAAAAGUAGGCCACAGUUGUAUUCCCAGCACUUUGUGAGGCUGAGGCGAGAUGGCUCGAAGCCGGGAGCUCAAGGCUGCAGUGAGCCAGGACUUCACUCCCGGCUGCAUGACAGAGUGAGAGCUCGUCUCACAAAACAAAACCUCCAAAGUAAAAAAUGGGAAAUAAACACAUCAACCAUGUUUGCACUCCCAGUCAUAGAGAAACAAGGUAGCACUACACAUCUGAGCUCCAGUGAGUUCCGGCACGGGUCGGUGAGUCGCAGGGACUCUGCGGCAUAAAGCAUCAGUCGAACAUCCAAACGGCCAGGUUGUGAUGACAGCAUCCACCGAUGAGUGCACUAUAAAAAGCACUGUUGUAGUACCAAAACGGUGGUGGCUGCUGUUCUCAGCAGCUAGCCUUAGGCUUAGAGGCAGGAAUCGAGGUCACGGUCUACCAAACAAAUCCUCUCAGGAAAGAGCAUCGUACUCCUGAAGUGCCAAGACAGGAGGUGGUGUGGCUCCACGGGAAUUUUGGAGAAUCUGGGAAUCAAGCAGAAGCACUCAUUGUUCUGACCAUGUAAAUACAAAACCGUCAGCUAGUACAUCCAUAAACAGAACGUCUGGGACGACAGGCAUCUCAUAAGAUUUAUAGCCACAGGGUAACAAUAAAGAAUUGUCUGCAGUUAAGGUCCUCGGUCUCCCUCUUUGCGUCAGUCUGUUUCUUGAUUUCUUUCUUUCUUUAUUGAGAUGCAGUCUUGCUCUGCUGCCCAGGUUGAAGCGCCGUGAAGCA